UGGGGGAGACUUGUACUUGUAGGGAUGCUUGGGUGGUGAUGGUGGUGGUGGUGGUGGAGACUUGUACUUGUAAGGAUGCUUUGGAGGUGAUGGUGGUGGUGGUGGAGACUUGUACUUAUAAGGAUGCUUUGGGGGUGAUGGUGGUGGAGGUGGGGACUUGUACUUGUAAGGGUGCUUGGGUGGUGAUGGUGGUGGAGGUGGUGGGGACUUGUACUUGUAAGGGUGCUUGGGUGGUGAUGGCGGUGGAGGUGGUGGAGACUUAUACUUGUAAACUGGAGAUGGUGGGGGUGGAGACUUGUACUUGUAAGGGUGCUUGGGUGGUGAUGGUGGGGGUGGGGGUGGGGGUGGGGACUUGUACUUGUAGGGGUGUUUGGGUGGUGAUGGUGGUGGUGGUGGUGGGGACUUGUACUUGUAAGGAUGCUUGGGUGGUGAUGGUGUUGGAGGUGGAGGAGACUUGUACUUGUAAGGAUGCUUGGGUGGUGAUGGAGGAGGUGGUGGGGACUUAUACUUGUAAACAGGAGUUGGUGGGGGAGGAGAUUUGUACUUGUAAGGCUUCUUGUGUGGUGGUGGUGGUGGUGGAGAGUAGACCGGAGGAGGCGGUGGUGGAGACUUGUAAUGGUAAGGUGGUGGUGGGUACUUCUUAGGAGGUGGUGGAGGAGAAGAAUAAGUGUAAUCUGCUGAGGUUUCAAAAGGCAAAUUGAGAGACACUGCUAAAACUAAAAGAGUGAGAAAGAGAGAGGUCAUUGAUGACCCCAUUUUCCCCAUACUUCUAAAAAUGGGUUUAAUUUGGUUAUGCUCUUAGCAACCCUCUUCACUCCCUUUAUAUAGACUUUUUUUUUAACCUUAUAAUCAUGAUAAAAGUUUGAAGAUGGACCGAACCUUCAGCAGCAUGUAAAAAAGACAUUACGUUUAGGUUAUUAGCAUGGUAUGAUAUAAUAAUUCUCUAUUCUCUUCCUUGUCGUUUCCCAUAAAUUCAAUUUUCUCUAUUAAAUAUUUAUCAAAUUCAUUUCUCACUCCCUAUUAAUUCUUUAAUAAGUUUAUAGAAUAUGAAUAAUUAAUCAUUAAACUCGAUUUAAUAAAUACUUUAAACAAUUAAUAAUUUAUCUUAUUUUAUGCUUUAAUUAAGGCAUCAAAUCAUAAUCCUAUUUUAUAUUUUGAAAAUUUAUCAUUUUUUAAAGAACUUAAUUGAUUAAAAUGUGAUUCUAAUAUUUGGCAGGAAAAAUUAGUUUACUUUCCUUAGAAUGUAAUAUUCUUUUGAGAGUUAUUUUCUUACUAAUAAUAGAAAGUGAUAAUUCGUGAGAAAAUUACUUUCACAUGUAAAUAAAAAUUAUUAGAACAAAAAAUUAACUUUCUUUUAUUUAUGUUUAGGUACUAAUUAACUUAUUGAGAUAAAGAUAGUUGUAGCUUGCUUUUUCAUGUCAUUUUCUUAUCUUUACAACUUCAAACCAUUAUUCUAGAGUAAGUUUUUUUUUUUUUUUCUAAAUAGUAGAUAAAUAUCUAUAUUUUAUUUUGCUAUAAGAAAAUUAUAUUUUUUAGCAUACAAAACUUAAAGACAACUUGUAGAAUCAAGUAAUUCUAUGAAAAGCAAGCCUAUUCACAUAUAAUACCUAUUACUCUAGCAAUAAUAAUAUUGACAUUGUCUAAAUUUUCUAAUAAAAAAAUUAUAUAAUUUGUAUGUGUUAAAAAUGAAAAAUAUGGCGGUUAUUAAAAAAGAUUUCAUACAUCUAAAUGAAACUACUAAUUUAAAAAUUAGUAUUGAGAUAAUUUCAAGUUAAUAUUGAAUAUACUUGAAUUUGUACAUACAAAGUAAUGAGGGUAAAAAUUUUGUAAAUUGUACAUCUUCACAAUCUUGAGUUAAUAUACAAUUUUUUAAUGUAUUAAUAUAAUGUUUUAGAUCAAGAUGUGAAAAAACAUAACUCAAAUAUUUGUUAAUAAUAAAAAAUUAUUAAUAAAUAUUUAAUUCAAAAUUUAUUAAUAAUAAAAAUUAUUGAAAAAUAUUAAAUACGUUAAUAUUAUUUUUAUAUAAUAAUGAUAAUUUUGUACAGUAAUCUUAUAUUCUCAAUAAGUGUUAAAUGUCUCAAGAUUUUAAUUAAUACUUUUCAGUGGUUACCAAACAUUGUGAAAUAACUUCUUGAACAAUGAUAUUCUUAUCAAUCACAUUCCAUUAGAAAUUUAACAUAGGAAAGCACCAAAACAACCGCUUAAAAAUGAAUGUGCAUGAUUAAAAUCGCGAUAAGUCUUGUUUAUCUAAAAUUUAAAUAUUCAUUUUAUUAUUUAAAAUAUAUUAAUUUUCCAAAAACAAUCAUUAAUAUUUAUAUUUCUAAUUUUAAACAUUCUUUUGUUAAUUAAAUGAUAGUGUAAACGGUUAAACUCAAAUCGAAAGCAUUUUAUCUUAUAGUAGAUUAUAUGACUCAUAUUAUGGUUGAAAGUAAAAUGUAUAAAAUCAAUACAAACAUCAAAUAUUAAACUUGCACUCAAUAGAUUUUAAAAUUUCUAAUUUUACCACUAAUCUAUUUUAAGAUUUUUAAAAAAUCGUACUUUAGAUUAUCUAAUUUAAAUUUUAAAAUUAUUAAAAAUAAAAAAAUUCUUAAUAAAAAAAUUUGUUUCAAAUUUUUAACCUUUUAAUAUAAUUGUUUUAACUGGUUAUCUAAACUAAAUAAAAACUUAUUUAGUAUAAAAAAAAGUGGUAAAUGUGAAAGGAGCACAAAUCACAACUACAAUAUGCUACAUUAGUUUUAUAAUUGGAUUAAUUUAAUCACCGGCAGAGGAAAUGUGUUAGUUCUAGCUACCACCAAUUUAUUUUAAUUCCUUUAAAAAUAUUAGAAAAAAUCAAUUUGAUUUUUAAUAAUAGAUCUAAUUACUUAAAGGAACAUCGGUGAUGUCCACAUGGCAUACAAGGUUAAGCAUAUAAAAAAAGAACAAAAAGAUUAAGUAUCUUUGCAAGAUAGCUUUCUGAAAUAAAUAAAACUUAAAUAAAAACAAUUUUAUUAUCAAAAUAAAAAGAAAAAAGAAAAGAAAUACUAGUGUUUUUAAUUAAAAUAGAGUGAUCUGGGUAGAAUCUUUUACUUAAAUACUGACAUUGACUUUAUAAGCUAUUUUUUAUCAAAAGAAGAAAGAGAAAAGCAUCCGAUUGAAGAUGUGAAUUAUUAAAUUAAAAUUAAUCAUACAUGUAAAAUUUUAUUGUGCUUUUUUCUAGCCCUCCGAAUGACAUUAUGCUUUGAUUACAACAUUCUUGCUCAGAGAUCGGGUUUGAAGAUGAACUCGGAUGCAUUUAGAUUUUUACAAGUAAAUUAAAGGAUGUUAGAACUUGUAUUCCGAUAAACUUAUAAUACAGAAAGCAAGUAAUAUGUGACUGUACAUAAUGGCUAUGAGGCGAGGAUAUGAUAUGAGAAGAUAGAGAUGAGAGAUUGCACUUAAGGGGUUAACACCACUUUCCUUUUUGUGUUUGGUCCCCAAAGCAUCUCUUAUUGGCUGAUGUUGCAAGGCCGUCCCAUAAGUUGGUCUAAAAGUGCUUGAUAGCUAGAAUUAAUAUUGUGGUAUAACAUAUGUCACCACUAGGUUUGAAUAAGGUUACACAGUGAUUUGAUGAAGAUUUAAAAAAGCAUAGAGAUAAUUAUGUUGCAAAUAUUGUAAAAGUAAGAGCUAAAUUGUUUGGCUUUAUUAGAGUUUAGACUCUGUUAGUCUAUUACCAUUCUCUAUUAGUCUGUUACCAUUUUGUUAUAUAGGCUGUAAUAUUGUUAGAAAGCAGUUAGCAGCUGUUAGUCAUAGUAGUUAGUCAUACAAAUAUAAAUUCUAUUCAUGUAUUGUUCAAAGGUAAGCUAAUAAUAUCAGAAGCGAUUUAAUGUAUUCAUUCUACUUUUUUUUUAUUCUUCAUAAUACAGUUGUUAACAUGGUAUCAGUACCCUAAUUUCUUAGAGGUCGCUUCUAUUGUAGAUCCAUGGCCAAUUCCACUGAUUCUACCUCCACUGGUCGUAGCAGUCCCUCGUUCUCGAUUCAUGUUUGGUUCAAUCGUUUCCUCGUCGUCACACUGAGAAGUUAGAUGAAAGAAAUGUUAUGCAAUGCCAACAGCAUAUCCUAUUGAUAAUUGAAGGGUAUGAACUCAUAAGAUUUUUAGAAGGGACGUUACCUACUCCGCCUCGCUUUGUGUCAUCUCCCGAUGGAACCUUGGCUUCGGCUCCCGAUGCAUUCCUGUUUGUUCAGCAAGAUAAGUUACUCGCUCUUUGGUUGCUUUCUACGAUUAGUGCUCCUUUGUUGUCCUCUUUUAUAGCUGCUAAGACACCGUGUGAGGUUUGGAGCACUGUGAAUCACCUCUUUACUGUUUCCACCAGAGCGAAGUUAUCGCGUAUUAAGCAUGAACUCCACUCCAUCAAGAAAGGCAUGAUGACUGUCAAAGAGUAUAUUAUUAAGAUUCAAAAUACCUGCACCUUACUCGAGGCAUCUGGAUUGGUGGUUUCGAAGGCCGAGAAGGUAGAGAUCAUUCUUGCUGGCCUAUCGUCAGAUUAUGAUGUCGUUUUAACACUACCAUAGUUCUCUUCUGAAACUCUUCCGUUACAGAAGAUAGUUGUUGUGCUACUGAAGUUCGAAAGCCGUCAGACUCAUGUCGUGAAUGACAUACCUUUUCAUGCUCAUCUGGUAGAGGCCACUUCGGCGACAUCGGUGGAGGACUCCGUACAUGGUAGCCAUCCUCCUCCUGGUGCUCGUGGGCAUGACUUUCGACUCGGCUUCAGUUCCAGAUCUAUGGUUGCUAUGGACAUCUGGCACAACGCUGUUAUUAUCAUUUCAACCGCGAAUACAGUGGUCUAUCUGCUCUGACCAUGGCGCAGGCUUCGCUUUUGUGCUGGGCACUAUUCGUGUGACAAUGUUUUUGGUGCAACUGGUCUCUUGACCGGCUGGUUUCCAUCAGCUCAUCCUAGUUCAAACCCCUUCGAUGUGCCUGGACAGUGUGCCGAUUCUUCGGUGACGGUACCGGCGCAUUUCCCUUAUGGCUCCUCUUGGGGAGGAUGGCCACAUUUGUAAAACAAUGCCUCCCUUGUGCCAAGUCUACCGAAUGUUAGGGUUUCUAACCUUUUUGCUCCUAAUUUUAACAAUGAGGCAAGCUAAGUGUUUGGGCCCGCUGUUGAACCAGGCUCAAAUAGUGACCAAUCUGGUGGUCCUCACUUGCCGCUGAAGAUGGGCUAACGCAUUGGGCCAUUCGCUGGUGUUCCUAGGCCAACUGCUUCAGGCCAAGAUUUUGGCCUAAAUGGAAUUGGUAGGCCAGCCAGUGCUCGUCCUAGCAUUGGAUAGGGUUCACUUGGGUCAAAUGUCAAUUUUAUUGGACUUGAGGGUUCUUUUGGGUAUAGACAAGAGUUUGGGCCCACCACUGGCAAUGUUUCAGUGCCAAUUAAUAGAUCAUGUGUUCCAUGGCACACAAAAUCGAGGGCACGCGUUAUUGAUUUUGAUUCUUCGCUGUGCGUUGGGUUGCAUCGCUUUACUAAUUUUCACGCAUCCGAUUUUUUUACUACCACUGGGUCUAAUGCCAAUACAACUCCAUAUAGGUCUAAUUUUGAUAAUGGUAAUUCUUACAUUCCUAUGCCUAUAGGGACCUCAUCAUGGUGUCUUGAUUUAGGGGCUACGCAUCAUGUCUGUUGAGAAGUCUCUGCCUUGAAUAAGUCUACGCCAUACUCAAGUACAUCUCCUUUCUUCACGGAUGAUGGUAUUCCUACAAAAAUAUCGUAUGUUCGGAAUCUUAUCUUGUCUAUGAAAACCAAAUUGCUUCAUUUGUCUAAUGUUUUGUGUGUGCCAAAUAUACGGAAGAAUUUGCUAUUUGUUUCUCAGUUUGCUAAUGACAAUAACGUGUUCUUUAAAUAUCACCUGUCUUAUUGUGUUAUUAAAGACAUCCAGACUCAUGAAAUUUUACUACGGGGCUACACUCGUGAUGGGCUCUAUUAUUUUUCGUCGGUUACUCUUGCUCUGUUUGUCGUUGUUCCUUUUUUCAUAGCACUGGGAUCUAGAGUCGCAAUGCAUAUGAUGAUUGUUUUGCAUUAUGGCAUCACAGGCAUAGUCAUUUGUCUGCCUCGAUUGUUAAACUUGUUCUCGAUAAGUGUCAAGUUGUUUCAAAAUAAAAUGUGCCUUGAAAAUAUUUGUAUUGCAUGUCAAAACGGGAAGUCUCACAAACUGCCUUUUUCAAGUUCUACUACUGAAUAUACAAAUUUGUUUGAUUUGGUUGUCUCUAACUUAUGGGGACCAACGUCUGUUGUCUGUAGAAAUAAUUUAUAUUAUGUUUUGUUUAUCGAGAUGUGUAGUUGAUAAACCGUAAUUUAUACAUAUUUUUAUCCUAUGUUUGGCACAUUUAUAGAUGAUUUAUCCUUAGAUUUGGUGAAUUCGAUGCUCCUAAUCCUUUAAUUUCAUAUUUUAUACUUAGGAGAGCAUAGGAGGGCAAAAAGAGCGAGAAACGGGCCGAAAACGGAAAAAAUAGACCCACAUGGGAAAUCAACAUGGCCUGGACUUCCUCACACUGGUAAGCCACACGGCCGUGUCCAUUUGGCAGGAUCGAAGCAAGACUUACACGAGUAGACUACACGCCCGUGCCUUUUUAAUAGCCUUGACCACUGUCUGGAGCAAUCGCGCACGGGCAUGUCCCUGUCGAGCCCAAGUAUAGUCUUAUUCGGAAAAGGUCUAUUUUAAGGGCUCUUAGGCAUUCUAAAGCUUAUUUAAUCACCUGAGAAGGCACUUAAAAGGGGGGACACGGAGUAGGAAGCAAGGAAUUACUCGAAGAAAGCCGAUUGAUCCAUCUCAGAAGCCUGAUUAUUCAUCAAGACUGAAAAUCUCCCUUCAAUUACCAUUCAGGAGUUUUGGGUUUUCUUUAUGUUUUGUAUUCAUUAUUCUUCUGAGAUGUUUUCUUUUAUAAUUAUGAUUUAAACCCUCUAAAUACCUAAGGGGAAUGAAACCUAAACGGAUCUUGUUAUUAUUAUCUGAAUUAUAUGAUAAAUAUUUGACUUGUUUUUAAUUAUAUGUUCUUAAUUCUUGUCUUAAUAUUCCAGGAUAUUGAUUCAAGUUAAUGCGCUUAUUCAGAGGAGCAAAAGUCCCUGUCUAAGAGUAAAUUUGUCAUAAUUAAACAGAGUUGAUUGCACACCUAAAGAUAGGGUAACAAGAUUUUGCCGAAUUAGGGUGAAACCUAAUAAGGAGAUCCAUAGAUCGAGUUAAUGCAACACUAGGGCGUUAAAUAGAAAGAGAUUUCAAUUAAUCAACCUAGGGUUAGAUGUUAUUAGUCUUGAGAGAGAUAAUAAUAUAACUUAGGGAUUUGUACGGAUCAUGUCAAAUGGAUAAAUCGACUGAUUCAGAGUCAAAUAACAAGUGAAGUCUAGGUGGAUUUUUCCUUGGGUAUUGUCCUAAUCAAGCGAAUUUUCUAAAAGUAUUUUCCCCAAUUUUUCAAGCGAAUUUUCUAAAAGUAUUUUCCCCAAUUUUCUUUCUCUGCACCCUUAGUUUAGUUAAUUAGUUUUAAUAAACAAAUCCUUUAAUUUUUAGGUUAGAUAAUAAAAAGAAAGUGAUUACUAGUACUCUUGGUUCCUUUGGGUUCGACAAUUCGGUCUUGCUAAAGCUAUAUUACUGUUCGAUAGGUACACUUGUCUUUAUCGUGAUAAUAGUUGGUUUCAAUAACGAUCAUUUCUAAAUUAUUUAAAACUUAUCGCAAGUAUCAUGAAUCAAGUUUUUGGCGCCGUUUCCGGGGAACUAAGAUAUUAGGAACACUUGAUUUUUAUUACUUUAGCCAUUUUUCUUUAUUUUUACUUUAAAUUUUUAUUUUCUUUUCUAAUUUUUCUUUUAUUUGUUCCUGACAGGUUUUUAUAGUUUAUGAUUAGAAGAAACCCGUCGGGACCAUUACUGUUUGAUAGUGAGAUCGAUCGCACAGUUCACAGAAACCAAAGAAAAAUAAGACGAAGCUUAAGAUACAAAAAGGAAGAGUAAGACGACGAUACUUCAACCACAAUCGAGAAGAUGGCUGAAAACCAGGAAAAUUUGCUACCUCCUGUGAUUUCUGCUGAUCCAGUAAAUCAGAAUCCUACUCCACGCACUAAGUAUGAUUAUGCUAAACCUACUUUAACAGGAACUGAGUCAAGUAUAGUUAGGCCUGCUAUUGCUGCGAAUAAUUUUGAACUGAAACCUAACACAAUUGAAAUGAUACAGCAAUUUGUUCAGUUUGAUGGUUUGCAGGAUGAGGAUCCAAACAACCACUUGGAAAAUUUUCUAGAGUUUUGCGAUACAUUUAAAAUCAAUGGCGUUUCUACUGAUGCCAUUCGCCUUCAGUUAUUCCCUUUUUCAUUGAGGAACAAAGCUAAACAGUGGUUGAACUCGUUACCACAAGGGUCAAUCACUGCUUGGGAACAAAUGACCGAAAAAUUUUUAUUAAAAUAUUUUUCGUCGACUAAAACAGCCAAAUUACGUAAUGAUAUCUCUUCAUUUAUGCAAAUGAAUAUAGAAACACUCUAUGAUGCAUGGGAGAGAUACAAGGACCUUUUAAGAAGAUGUCCUCACCAUGGGUUACCACUCUGGCUACAGGUUCAAACGUUUCACAAUGGCCUGAAUCCUUCGACUAGACAGAUGAUUGACGCAGCUGUUGGAGGAACUAUCAAUAAUAAGACACCUGAGGAUGCUUAUGAAUUUAUAGAAGAGAUGUCACUAAAUAAUUAUCAAUAGCAAGUCAUGAGGACAAAACCGAUGAAAGCAACCGGGGUUUUUAAUGUUGAUUCGGUCACCAUACUUUCUAAUCAGGUAGAACUUUUGAAUAGAAAAAUUAACAGUUUUUUUGGUUCUUCACAGGUUCACCCAGUAAUGCAAUGCAAUGCAAGUGGGGGAGAAUUGAGCAAUUCAGAAUGCCCACCCUAUGGCCACAACAUGAAAAACAAGCAAUUAAAUUAUAUGGAUAAUAAUCCUCGACCUCAAAAUAAUCCUUAUAGUAACACUUACAAUACAGGAUGGAGGAACCACCCAAAUUUCUCAUGGGGAGGCCAAGGGAAUCAGAGACCACCACCAUUUCCAGGUUUCUAACAGCAACCUUACCAGCAAAAUAAAAAUUUGAACCUUGAGGAAAUGCUAACAAAAUUCAUCUUGGUGUCAGAAACUCGUUUCCAGAAUACCGAGACAGCACUUAAAAAUCAACAAGCGUCGAUCCAAGGGCUCGAAACUCAGAUAGGCCAGCUCGCUAAAUUGAUAUCUGAAUGAACACAAGGUAGCCUACUGAGUAACACUGAAUCUAACCCAAGGGAGCAACUCAAUGCGAUUGCCAUUCAAGAUGAGGAAGGGUUAGUUACAUCUAAACCAGAACCGAGGCAAGAAACUGUGGUAAGUAAAGGUAAAGGUAAGGUAAACCACAUCGAGCAGAAACCGGUAAGUAAAGAGUACAAACCACGAGUGUCAUACCCAAAUGCGACAAAGAAAGACCAUACAGAUGAACAAUUUUGUAAACUCCUUAAACUAUUAAAGAAAUUACACAUUAACUUACCGUUUAUUGAAGCCCUUUCGUAGAUGCCGAACGCAGUCAAGUUUUUAAAGGAGCUUUUAGGAAACAAGUGAAAGUUGGAUGAAGCGUCGCAUGUGGAGUUGAACGUAGCUUGCUCAGCUAUUCUACAAAAUAAGCUACCCAACAAAUUAAAAGAUCCAGAGAGUUUUACAAUUCCUUGCUUAAUUGGUAGCUUAGAUGUUAAUAAUACUUUGGCUGAUUUAGGGGCUAGCAUCAAUGUCAUGCCUUACAAAAUGUUUAAGUAACUAGGUCUUGAGAAACCCAAACAAACUAAGAUGAGUAUUCAAUUAACCGAUGAAACAAUUAGAUUUCCUAGGGUUAUUAUUGAAGAUGUACUCAUUAAAAUUGACAAAUUUAUAUUCCCAGUUGAUUUCGUUGUUCUAGACAUAGAGGAGGAUAGUAACGUUCCUUUAAUUUUAGGGAGCCCUUUUUAGCAACUGUUAGAACAAUAAUUGAUGUUGGCACAGGUGAACUCACACUUCGUGUGGGAGACGAAACAAUCACCCUUUAAGCUCGUAAUUCAAGUAACACAUCAAAAAUUGAAGGUGGUUGUAUAAAUCAUACUAUUAAAACUGAUCAUUUGGUGAAACCUUCCUGGCAGGAAACACGUUCAAAGAACACACCUGAGCCAUGUUCGAGUAACGACAAAAGACCUAUCUAUGAAGAAUGAAGGCUACAACUUGAGGAACUAGAUGAAUAGCUGACACAUAAACCGAGGACACACGAUAAACCAAAACCAUGCCAUGACGAGCUCAAUAUUUCACCAAAUCAACUUAAGGUUGGAGACAAAGUACUACUAGAUGCGGUAGACCCUCGUAUUGCUACGUCUGAACCUAACGGAGCAAUCCCUCUUACAGUACUCAACAUUUUCCCAUAUGGUACAGUCGAGGUUAUUCAUCCCAAACUCGGCACUUUUAAGGUAAACAGUACUCGUCUUAAACCUUAUUUUGAUAAAAUUGAUAGCAGGGAUGAGGAGUGUGAACUCCUCACAUCACAAUGACCAUGCAACAGAAAGGUAAGUCGAGCUUAGACUAUAAAUAAGCGUUUUUCGGGAGGCAACCCGAGCAUUAAUGAUGUUAACUUUUUUAAAAUUUUAGUUUUUUACAUCUAAUCACUAACUGAGUCAGUGAAACACAGGUUUUCUAAUCUACACGGCCAAGCACACGGACAUGCCUUAGGCCGUGCUCACACCAUGGGAGGAGACACAGCCGUGCGAUACUGCCGUGUGAAAACAGGGUAAAAUUUUUCCUUAACACGGGAUGUGAUAAGUUGCCACGGCCGUGCGAUGUAGCCGUGGGCGAGUCUUUCAAACCAACACAGGCGUGUGACACACCCGUGUCUAUAAACCAUGGUUGAAACUGAGAAUUUAGCACGAGCAUGUCCUAUCAACCGUGCUCAAGACUGAAAAAAGAACACGGGCGUGGACAUCUAUACACGGGCAUUGGAGAAGAGAAUGAAACAGAACAUGGUCGUGUGACACAGACGUGUGCACCAACACGCCCAAAGAGCACGGGCGUGUGAAGAAUUUCAGACACGCCCAAAUUUGAAAAUUACGAUAAACACGAGCUGAAAUAAGGGCACAUGGGGGUGCCCCACGACCGUGUGCCCCAAAAUCUAUAUAAACCCCUUACUAUUCAUCACCCCCUUCCCCAAAAUCUCUAACCCUAGCCGCUGCAACUUCACAUGCCCUACCUGCCACGCCCGUGCACCGUCCACAGCACCACCUUUGACAACCCAAAGCUCCUCCCUCUUACGUUUGUACAUUUUUUUCCUUCUAUUCUCUUCAUUCUUUUACUUAUUUGAUGAUAUUUUAUUUUAUUUUGAGUAAAUAAUCAUAGUUAUAAUGAUAGAAUACUUAUGCUCUUUGUUAAGAAAUUUACCAUUUUAAUUGAUAUAUUUUGCUGCAUUUAUCCACUUUUCUUGUUUCCAUAGAUUUCAUGCUUACCCACACCAUAUUUCAUACUUAUUAAACCCACAUGCAUUCAUUCAAUAGAUAUUUCCAUUAGCAUUACUCUCGUAGUCCUAUUCAUAGUAAUGACUUAAUAUAUCUGAUUGGGUUAUUUUUAGUAUAGUUGUUCUUUAGUACAUGACUUCUAUGAAGUAUCUCUAUUAGUUUUACCAUGCAUAUUUUCUAUGCUAUUGCUGGGGAGUAAUUUUAUUUUUUAUUUUUUCUUGCCAUUGUAGGUAUACUAUCUCAACCUUACGUGGUAAGGAGACCGCCAUCCCCUCUUCGAAGAAAAGGAAAGGAGCAACGUCAUCCUCAGGUCCUACCGCUGAGAUCCGUUACCCUUUCCUCCAGUUUCCCUUUGGACCCCAGGAGGAACUAUUUCAGAUAUUACGGGUCCGACCCUUAGGUGUAGGCCACUGCAUUGACUGGGCUGCACUUAAAAAAAUUCAAAUGGCUGACGUGGUCCAAGCCCUCCUGACGACUACCCGUGGAGGCUUUUCUUUGAGAUCAUCGAGCCGAUGUACCACGAGCUCACAAUGGAACUCUACUCGACCUUCCAUCUUCAAGUCGCCAUGAUAAACUGCGACGAUCCUAGAACGGUCCAAUUCCACCUCAGUGGUCUAGUGCGCCAGUUGAGCGUACCGAAGUUCAGAAUUGCACUAGGGCUGUAUAUGGAAGAGUUCAUGGAUGACAACGAACUUGACACCCUCUAUUGCCACAUCCACUACUCUCUCUCCAAAUGCUGGAAGGACUUUGUCCCUGCCUCGGCCACCUAUGAUCCUAACUACUCUAAGGCAUCAGCCCUCACCCCAUCCCUGUGAUACCUACACGCCAUCUUAGCCCACACUCUGACAGGGCGGCGAGAGAGCACCGGCAUCAUCAACACUCACGACGCCUACUUUUUAUAGAGCAUGGCAAACGGGCACGUCUUCGACCUUGCCUAUUUCAUUGCUCUCGCCAUCCGCCAUCAGACGGAGCGGCAUAGGAGAGGAGUUAUCACCAUUAGCCACUAUGUGACUCGACUGGCACGGCACUUCGGGCUCCUCAACACAGCAGCAUAAUCAUCCUCACUCACUCUCAUUGGUCAUAUGUCCCCUCAAGGCAUCUCGAGUAUGCUACAUAUGAGGAUGCUCGAGAAACGACGUGGAACUUACCCUCCUCAGUACCGCCUCGUCCAGUCCACUAAAGAGGAGAACCCAUAAGACAUUACUGAUGAUGUCCCUCCACGUCAUGAGGACCCACCGUCUCAACCAUCACCCAUCCAUCGUCCAGUUCAUGCGGUGGCUUCAUACUCUGAUAUCUCUAAGCACCUUACUCGAUUUAAGCAGCAGUGUUUUCAGUGCUUUGAUCACAUUGAUGCUACUCUUCAUCAGAUUUGUCAGCACCUUCACAUCUCAUCGCCACCACCACCUCGCGAACCAUCCGGCGAUGCUGAUGUUUAAAGACUUUUUAUUUUUUAUUUUUAUUUCCACUUUUAUCUUUAUUUAUCUUCUUUAAGUAGUUUUUAUUUUAUUUUCCUUUAAUAUUAUUUCAAUUUUAGGUUUUAUAAUUUUUAUUGAAUAAUUUAUAGUUUUGGCUAUUUUAUUACGAGUAAUUAUGCUUCCUUAUAUUUCCUAAAGAGUUCUUGAUUUUAUCACAGUUAUAAAGAGCUCUAAAGCUCAUCAUCACUUAGGAACUAAAAAAUCACUGGAAAAGGUUCUCCACAACUGUCAAGUCCUGCUCGACCACGACCACAGCUACUACCAGAUAUAAUAUUCUGUUGGCGCAGGACUUAUGGACUAAUGAACCUCUACCACCACCGGAGUAUCCUCCUCCACUCUCAUCAUUGCCUUGGCUGAUUAUUCUCCAUAACUCCAAUUGAAGGAGUUCAUUCAUCAUUCAGGAAGUUUAACUUCUCUUCUUAUCUUAUGAGUAUUUAUCUAUAUUUUUCAGUAUAUCUAUCUUUGUACAUUGAGGGCAAUAUACAUCUUAAGUGUAGAGGGUCUUUUAUAUCAUUAUCAGAAAAAUCCCUGAAUUUUAUCUUGUUCUCAAAUCAUCUUCUCAUAUCAUUAUUAGAAUAAAAUUUGAUUAAUUUAUGAUUGUUAUUGAUAUGUCUUCAAUUAAAACAUAGGCAUUCAUGUAUUGAUUGUUUAAACUUUAAGGAAUUAGAUAAUCAAGCAGGAUAAGUUGAUUUUUGAGAAUUAAAAAUUUUUAGGUUGUUUCCCCAAGUUUAGGUAUUAUCUCGAGUUAAAAUUCACAGGGUUAACAUCAACAAGCCAUAAUUUCUGUAAGAUCUUGAGCCUUUAGAGCAACUAUUAUUUCUUUCAUGCUCACUGUUAUUAUUGAUAAUGAGUGUGUCAAUAUUGAUUUAUUAUUCUAGAACUUGCUUGAUUAUGCAUGUCAAGACCACACCCUUGAGUUAAUAUGUCAAUAUGAUAAAGGCACCUAGGUUUAACCCACUCACUCCAUAAAAGCAUACCUUCAUAAUUUACCCUUAGUGAACCCCUUUGAGCCUAACAAGCCAUUAAUUGAUUUACCCUCAAUGUUAACCCAUAACACAUUAUUGUUGAAAUCCCCUAAUUUGAUCCCUAUUUUUGUCGAGAUUUGAUUUGAAUUAUUGCAUAGCUAUGUUUUAUUCUUCGUUGCAAUAAUUAGCAAAGUCCUAUGUUAUUUCACUUGUUUAUUUCACUUGUUCCUAAAAAAAAAUACAAUACUUACUUACAUAUUAAUAGUAAUUCGUCAUUUUUGAGCUUAAGUGUUAAUUCCAUAUUCUAAGAAGAAGCUCACUCGUAUUCAACUUAUAAUUAGUUGUUUUUCUAGUUAGGUGAUUUUUUUAAUUCAAUCUCGAUUCUAACCUUUCCUUUUAGCUUGUGACCACACCCCCUAACCAAAGCCACGUUACAACCCUCUAAAGACCUUUUGAUUGAUGUAUCAUCUCAAUAUAUAGUGGUGGAGAUUUGAUUUUCUGCAAGCCUAUGGUAAUAACUUUUCAUAUUGACUAAUGAGUGCUUCAUUUAUUAUCCUUAAACACCUCGAGUGAUUUGAGUGAAUCUUUAGUGAGGAUGUUAAACUCCGUGAUAUUUUGAAUCAAAGGUAAUCACUUAGAUGAGGGGAGACACCUAUGUUUUCGUGAUGAAAUGCUCAACUUGGAAUGUUUGAAACUUUGAUAUUCUUCUAGUUGAAUUCUCCAUGUAUGAUUACUUAUGAUUUAUUUUAAGAUAUUAUUGAUAGAGAUUAUAGAUUGAGAAGAAUUUAUUUUGAUUGUGAGUUGAGGAUUUUGCUUGAGGACAAGCAAACGCUUAAGUGUGAGAGUUUUUGAUAAACCGCAAUUUAUACAUAUUUUUAUCCCAUGCUUAGCACAUUUAUAUAUGAUUUCUCCUUAGAUUUGGUGAAUUUGAUGCACCAAAUCCUUUAAUUUCAUGUUUUAUACUUAGGUGACCAUAGCAGAGUAAAAAGAGCGAGAAACAGGUCGACAACGGAGAAAAAUAGACCCACAUGGGAAAUCGACACGGCCUGGACUUCCUCACACGGGUAAGCCACACGGCCAUGUCCAUUUGGCAGGAUCGGCGUACAAUUUACACAGGUAGACUACAUGCCCACGAUUAUUUAGCAACCUUCACCACGGUUUGGAGCAAUCGCACACGGGCGUGUCACACAGGCGUGUCCCUGUCGAGCCCAAGUAAAGUCCUAUUCGAAAAAGGCCACUUUUGAUGGCUCUUAGGCAUUCUAAAGCCUAUUUAAACACCUGAGGAGGCAGUUAGAACGGGGGGACACAGAGUAGGAAGCAAUGAAUUACUCGAAAAAAGCCGAUUGAUCCAUCUCAGAAGCUGGAUUAUUCAUCAAGACUGAAGAUCUCUCUUCAAUUUCCAUUCAAGAGUUUUGGGUUUUCUUUAUGUUUUGUAUUCAUUAUUCUUCUAAGGGGAAUGAAACUUAAGACGAAUCUUGUUAUUAUUAUCUAAAUUAUAAGAUAAAUAUUUGACUUGUUCUUAAUUAUGUAUUCUUAAUUCUUGUCUUAAUAUUUCAGGAUAUUGAUUCAGGUUAAUGCGCUUAUUCAGAGGAGCAAAAGUCCCUGUCUAAGAGUAAAUUUGUCAUAAUUAAGUGGAGUUGAUUGCACGCCUAGAGAUAGGGUGACAAGAUUUUACCAGAUUAUGGUGAAACCUAAUAAGGGAUCCAUAGAUCGAGUAAAUGCAACACUAGGGCGUUAAUUACAAAGAGAUUUCAAUUAAUCAACCUAGGGUUAGAUGUUAUUAGUCUCGAGAGAGAUAAUAAUAUAACUUAGGGAUUUCUACGAAUCAAGUUAAAUGAACAAAUCGCCUGAUUCAGAGUCAAAUAACAAGUGAAUCUAGGUGGAUUUUUCCUUGGGUAUUGUCUUUAUUAAUCGAAUUUUCUAAAAAGUAUUUUCCCAAUUUUUAGGCUAGAUAAUAAAAAGAAAGUAAUUACUAGUACUCUUGGUUCCUUUGGGUUCGACAAUUCGGUCUUGUUAAAGCUAUACUACUGUUCGAUAGGUACACUUGCCUUCAUCGUGAUAAUAGUUGGUUUUAAGAACGAUCAUUUAUAAAUUAUUUAAAACUUAUCGCAAAUAUCAUAAAUCAGUAGUCGUUUUACAUGGAUUUAUCUCAUUAAAUGAAUGUCUCAGAUGGUUGACUAUUUUUUUCAGUUUCAAAAAAUGGUCAAAACUCAGUUUGGGAAAGAUAUUAAAAAUUUUCAAAGUGAUUGGGGUGGUGAGUUUCGUGCCUUCGCAUCAACUCUUGCUAUUCAUGGGAUACUUCAUCACCUCUCCCGUCCACAUACAUCCGAGCAGAACGGUAUAGCCAAACCAAAACAUCAAGACAUUGUUGAGAUAGGUCUUACUCUCUUGACCCAAGCUAAUAUGCCCAUGGAUUUCUGGGGUUACGUGUUUUGCAGUGUCGUUUAUCUCAUUAAUCGUCCACCUACCUUGGUUUUGAAAGGUCAAUCUCCGUAUUAAGUUCUUCAUGGUAGUGACCCUACAUAUGAUCAUUUACGGGUGUUUGGGUGUUAUUUCUUUCCAUACUUGCGUCUGUUUCUGCAACAGAACUUGGAUUUUUGUUCUCAGCCUUGCACAUUUUUAGGGUAUAGUUCUCAACAUAAAGGCUAUCACUGCCUCACACCAGAUGGUAAGGCCAUUGUCUCUUAUCAUGUUGUGUUUGAUGAACGUCGAUUUCUCUUUUUUUUUAUGUUGCAAACACCGUCCAGUCAGGUCCAUGUAUCUCUACAUAUGUUCCUAUUGCUCAGUCUUCAUCUGCCGCGCCACGGCAUCCUCGCUUGUUCAGCCCAUUAAGUCCUCUUGACUCUUACUCCUAAUUGUAGUUCCAAGACGUCUAUUUCAGUUGACUCUCCGACUGAAUUGGGUUCUACUCAUGAGGUGCACCGGCUCUUCACCUCAUCUCCUGAAUCACGUCAAUGCGACUCUACUACAAUUCCCUCGGUUAUUCCAUCUAUUUUUCUAGAGAAUACUCAUAACAUGAUUACUCGGUCUAAGGCUAGUAUUUCUAAACCCAAAGCUUUCUCUGUUGAAACUGUCGACUAUGAGCCACACACGAUUGAUGAGGCACUCGCUAGUAAGGAAUGGCAAUUAGUUGUCCAAGCUGAGUUUGUUGCUCUAAUGGCUAACUCUACCUGGGAGCUUGUUCCCUUACUUCAUUGUCGAAAAGUGAUUGGGUGUAAGUGGCUUUUUAAAAUAAAAAAAAUCCUGAUGGGGCUAUCACUUGGCACAAGGCUCAGCUGGUAGCAAUGGGUUGUUCUUAGGUACCUGGGUGUGAUUUCAAAGAAACCUUUAGUCUAAUGGUUACACCUACUACUAUUAGAAAAAUAUUGUCUAUUUCUGUUUCCAAUGGGUGAAAACUUCGUCAAAUCGAUGUGAAUAAUACCUUUUAAGAUGGUGAUCUCACUGACGAAGUGUUUAUGCAACAACCUUCAGGCUAUGUUCAGAUUGGUCCAUAUCGUGAGCUAUUGGUGUGUCGUCUGAAAAAGGAGUUGUAUGGAUUACGACAAGCUCCACGUGCCUGGUUUGAUAAAUUGAAACAUUUUUUCUACCAGAUUUGUGUUAUCCAAAUCUGAUGCAUCCCUGUUUGUUCGAGUUACGUACGUAUCCACUAUUUAUGUUCUAAUCUAUGUGGAUGAUAUUACCGUUACUGAAAGUACGACUGACGGUAUAAAUGACUUUAUUCAACAGUUACAUAAUAAGUUUUCCCUUAAAGAUAUGGGAGAUCUUCACUACUUCUUAGGUAUUCAAGUCACUCGGUCAUCCACUAGAAGUCUUCAUUUGUGCCAACGCAAAUACAUCUAGGAUCUGCUUGACAGGAGUUCCUGGGCUAACGUGAAAAGUGUUCACACACUGAUGGUUAGUUCUUUUACAUUGUCUAAAGAUGAGAAAAAUCACCUCGUUGAUCCCACUAAAUAUAGGAGCCUUGCCGGAGCAUUACAAUAUGUGGUCUUAACUCGGCCUAAUAUUGCUUAUGCGGUAAAUCGUGUUUGUCAAUUCAUGCAUAUGCCUACUACGGUACAUUUGGUGGCUUUGAAAAUAAUCUUGCGCUAUUUACGUGGCACUAUUGAUCAUGGGUUAAUUUUUCGUCCGUUCGACAGAUUGUCUUUAGUUGGCUAUGCUGAUUCCAACUGGGGACUGGAUUUUGAUGAUCGUCAGUCAACCAUAGACUAUUGUGUGUAUUUUGGACAUACAUCCAUCUUUUUGUGUUCUAUGAACCAACAAGUUAUUUUUCACUCCACGGCUGAUGCGAAGUAUCGUAGUCUAGCAGUAGCUACCAGUGAUGUUACUUGGUUAGCCUCUCUGUUAACGAAUUUAAAAAUUUGUUCUGCAAAUCCACUUACUAUUUGGUGUGACAAAUCUAGUGCAAUAGUGGUUGCUGCUAAUCCGGUUUUACACUCCAAAUUUAAACAUGGCGAGCUUGAUCUAUUUUUUGUUCGCGAAAAUGUCACUAAUGGUUCUCUCAUUGUUGGCGAAGUUCCGGCAUGUGAUCAGGUUGCUAGUAUUCUCACAAAACCAUUGUCCAUCUCUACUUUUGCUAGGUUUCAUAGUCUGCCUCAAGUCUUACCUCUUGAGAAGCUGGAUGAAGCCGGGUGAAUAUUAGAGUAUAGACUCUAUUAGUCUGUUACCAUUUUGUUAUACAGGCUAGAAUAUUGUUAGUAACCAGUUAGCAGCAAUUAGUCAUAGCAGUUAGUCAUACAAGUAUAAAUUCUAUUUAUGUAUAGUUCAAAGGUAAGCUAAUAAUACCAGAAGAGAUUUAACGUGUUCAUUCUACUUUCUUUGUUAUUCUUCAUAAUACAGUUGUUAACAGGCUUGAUAUCAUCUCUUAGAGAAAACUAGGAGAGAUAAGAGUAAGAGUAUGAGCAAACUAUGGAUAAGGCUCUACCAUAAUACCUUAGAUGCAGUUAAAGUAAGAGUAAGAGCCAACUUGUUUGGCUUGAUAGCAUCCCCUUAUAGAAAAAGCUCUACCGCAUGGCAUUAGAGCAAUAAAAGUAACACUUAAUUUCUUGGUUGAUAGCAUCUCGUAGGGGAAAAAGGUUUACCAUGUGACAUGAAAGUAAUUAAAGUAAGAUUAAGAGCUAACUUGUUUGUCUUAAUCGCAUUGUUUAAGAGAGAUCCAAAUAAAUUUACUCAAAAUAUGUUAAUCAAAUAAUGCAAAUUACAAUGUUUUGUCAAUUUUUCCUUUAAUUGUAACUGGGUUAAAGUUGGUAGUUGUAACUGGUACUAAUAGAAUAGAUUUGGUAGAAAUGGUUGAAAGCAACAUAAGCAAAGAUGACUUUGAUGUCAUUGUAUUGACCACGUGGGAACUAUAGAAUGUAGAGAAUAGUAUGGUGAUUGGCAUCAGAAUGUUGCUAACUUUGAGGACAGUAGAUAAGGAUGGAUCCAAAGGGGCUGUGGGCGGCCCCCUUGAAAUUUUCAAAUUUUUGAAUUUAUAUAUAAAUUAUCAUGUAUUUUAGAUUUGGUGUCCACAUUGUAUAACAUUCACCCCCUUUGCCAAAUUGUAUUUCAUAUCAUUCGCCCCCUUAAACCAUAAGGUUAUACUUUAUAUUAACAAAGUAUUUUCCAUUUUUUUUAAUUAUAUAAAUUUAAUAAUAACAAUAAUAAUAAAAUAUUAAUGUAUGAUAGGCAUUGAAAGACUAAACUUAUAGGUCCAAUUUGGACUUUAAAGCCAAAUUCUAUAAUUAAUUAAUUGAUUUGGCUCAUACCUAUACAUAUUAGGUUAGCGACUUUCUUGUAUUUUGAUUUGUAUGUCUUCUUAAGGAAUUAUCUUCCUUUGGUAAAGUGUUGACACUACCAAGAGAAAAAGAAAGGAUUUUGAUGACGAGACUAAGAGUAUAGAGCAAAAAUAUACAAAUUAUCUUCCUCUUGGCUCCUUAUGCAAAAAACCUCUCGGUAAAUUUUUUGCAUAAAUUAUGUUCUUUAUUUAUUUGACUUAUUUUUUUUAUUUUUUCCUAAUAUAUUUUGUUUAAUAUAUUAUUAAAAUCAUCAGGUUUUUCGAUUAAAUAAUGGUCAAUAAAAAGAUCGAAUCUAUUUUUUUAAAAAAAAGGUGUCAGAAAGCAAUAGUGAUCAACCAGUUCCUUAACCUUCUGUUAUUCGUGAAGAAAAACCAAAUAUUGGAUAUUCCCAAGCUCCUGAAUGAAAUAUUAGGUCUUAUCAAGCCCAAACUUUUGAAUGCGAUAUGGAGUCUUCCCCAGUUCUUAAACUAGAUUGUUACACUCCUUACCUGAUCCGAUCACCAAAUCCAUGUAGAGAGUACCACAACUUAAACCAUAUGAAUUGAAUAAUAAAUAUUUGAAAUUUAUUAAAGUAUCGAGUUCUUGGUGUAACCCUCAGUAUAAUAAUAUGAAACAAUCAAAUCAAUGAUACGCCAGGAACAAACAUUUUUAGGAAAAACACAUGGCGGAAACCUUACAAAAGUUUAUAAGUUUAUAUGAAAUGUAAGAUGAGUUAAUCCCAUACAAUAGUUUCAAGUGCAUUUUUGGCAGUUAAAACAACACUCUAAAACUAUUUGGUGUAGAUGCCAAUGAGACAAUCAUGUGGAAUAAGAUAUAGUAGCAUAAACACAUACAUCACUUACCAUGUCAUUAUAACAUAUACUAACCACAUAAACAAAUUUCUCGAGCUGCGAACGAACAAGUUUACCCAAACAUCUGGGGUUGGUAGAUAGCUUAUCAGAAAAGCCCUCCAAAUCCUAGAGUUCACCAAAACCUGGAGUUCGCCAAAUAGAGAUUCCCAUAGAAUACGCCAAACACACAACCAAAAAACAAAUACUCUACUAACUUACUUAUUUUUUAUUCUUAGCAUAAACAACUAUGCGCCAAAAAGUAACUUGAUACAUUAUCCAUCAGGCGGGUUGUUACAAUUCUCCCUCACUUAGAAAAUUUUGUCCUCAAAAUUCUUAACGGUGAAUAACUGAGGAUAUUGUUCUUUUAUUGAACUCUCUCUUUCCCAAGUGGAUUCUUUUUUAUUGUGAUUUCUCCAUAAUACAUUAACAAAAGGAAUUCUUUUUCUUCUCAACUUUUUUACCUCCCUUGCUAAUGCGAACAGGUUCUUCUUCAUAGGAUAUGUUUGGCUCCUUUUCUAAUGCUUUGACUUGUACCACAUGAUCUGGUUUGGAUUGAUAUUUUCUUAACACGAACACAUUAAUCACAUUGUGUAUCUUUGAUAACUCUAGUGGCAACACCAAUCUGUAUGCCACUGGACCAACCAGUUCCAAAAUCUCAUAUGGUCCUACGAAAUGCAGACUUAAUUUCCCUUUUUAUUCUAACCUUAUGAUAUUCUUCCAAAGAGAAAACUUCAUAAAUACAUUGUCACCCACUUCGAAAGAGAUUUCUUUCCUUUUUAGAUCAACAUAAGCUUUCUGACGAUCUUAAGUUACUUUCAGAUGAUUUCAAAUAAUAGAGACUUUCUCUUCUGUUUCUUGUACUAAAUCAAAACCAACUAUUUUCCUUUCACUGAGUUCCAUCCAACAGGUGGGAGAUCUACGCUUUCUUCCAUACAAAGCUUCAAAUGGUGAUAUUUCUAGAUUGGCGUGAUGACUAUAAUUAUACACAAACUUUGGCAAAGAAAGAUAUCUUUCUCAAUUCAUUCUGAAAUCUAUAAUACAACUUCUGAGCAUGUCUUCCAAAACUUGAAUUACUCUUUCAAAUUGUUCACCUGAUUAGGGAUGAAAGGCAGUACUGAAUCAUAUCUUGGUUCCUAACGAUUCUUGUUGUUGUCUUCAAAAUCUUGAUGUAAACAUUAGGUCUCGAUCUAAAACUACGGAUGUUGGAAUCCCAUGAAGACAUACAACUUCAGAAACGCAGAGCUUAGCCAACUUUUCCAAUGAGUAAUUUGUGCGGGCAAACAAGAAAUAGACUGACUUAGUAAGUCGAUCUACAAUUGCGCAAACUGAAUUCUUCUUUGAAAGGCUGAAAGGGAGAGCCAAAACAAAAUCCAUGGUGAUGUUAUCCCACUUCCACUUAGGUAUCUCUAAAGGGUACAACUUGCCUAAGGGAACCUGAUGUUCUGUUUUAAUCCGCUGACAUGUCAAAGAAAUGGAGAUGUACUCUGUUAUUUCUUUCUUCAUUCCAGGUCACCAAUACAAACUUCUCAAAUUACGAUACAUUUUAUGUAAUGCUCUCAACCCGACUCGAUAUGUCGAGUUUGGAUCUCGGGUAUUACUAUACACAGUACUUAGUAAAAUAUCAAAAUAGCUGACAAAUACUCUUUACUAAAAACAUUUUCUUAUUAUUUUAACCGAAAGAGUAAAUAUUUAAUAACAAGGGUAAAUAUUAGAAAUAAAAUAAAUUAUUACAUCAGACUUGGUACAACUGAUUAUAGUAUAAAAUUUUGUUAAAGACAGACUCUUGGGGAAUAACCCUAAUCUAUGCCACUUUUCCACUAUAUACAUAAUAACCCACUUCAGCACUAUCUUGGCAUACUCCUAGCAUCGUCACUCCUAACGCAUUCUCUACCCAUACACCUAAAAACAACAACAUUAUAAGCUCAAGAGAACUUAGUGAAUUUUAUCCCAAAAAUACCUUGGCGAGUACUUUAAUUAUUUGACUAACAUCUGUGCGCCAUCUAUCUUUUUAAACCACCUUCUUCUGAAUCAGACGGAUACUAUUACAGAUUCGACUUUCACUUAUACGCCAGCUAUCAUACUCUUAACACACUCACUUAUUCUAGAACAGUUUUUCACAUAUAUUAAUCAUUGACAGAUACAUACAUUUUUGGUGAAUACUUACGCAGAUCUAAAUACCAUCAAACUACUAAUCAAAUCAUACAUUGAUUCGAUACCAUACAAACUCCCAUUGAUAAUGUACUACACAAUUUAUUCAAAUGAAUUUUCCACUACUUUGUUACAGGACCCCAGAAAAUCAUCAUAACAAUAACUCAAUUUCCAUAUGAUUUCAAAAAAGGAUAUAAUACAACCCAAAUAUGGCGAAUUCCAGACAACUCAGAUUCAACAACUGUAUAACAUAGACAAAAUCACAUUGAUAAUUUCUUAUGUCCCAAAUAACUAUGAAUACGUCCAUAUUCAAUACUAACAGAUAAUCAUGACGGAUACCCUUCUUAUACAUAUAUGCAUUUCUUUUCUAAAAAUCUCUUAAGACUUACUCAGUUAUAUCACAGAUCUUAUUCAACCUUUAACUUCAGACGUAUCAUAAACCUAUCAGAUCAAUAUCUGUCACAAAGAAAUUGGCAUUUACCCAGAUUUUACAAUAAAGGCAGAUAAUCAUAUUAUAGUAGACAAACUUAACUGAAAGUGCUACAAAGGCCAAACAAAAUAUGCCAUAAAGGCUUCAUACAAAAUCAUGUGUUUACUAUCUCGACGGAUGAUACAUGAUAUUCGUGACAGGUUUUAAAAAUUUAUAAUUAAUCGUUCUUUAAAUUAACUAUUAUCACGAUGAAGGCAAGUGUACCUCUCGAACAGUAAUAUAGCUUUAGCAAGACCGGAUGGUCGAACCCAAAGGAACCAAGAGUACUAGUAAUUGCUUUCUUUUUAUUAUCUAGCCUAAAAAUUAAGGGAUUUAUUUAUCUAAUUAAUUAACUAAACUAAGGGUGCACAGAAAGAAAAUUGGGGAAAAGCUUUUGGGAAAACUCGAUUGAUUAAGACAAUACCCAAGAAAAAAUCCACCUAGACUUCACUUAUUAUUUGACUCUAAAUCAGACGAUUUAUUCAUUUGACUUGAUCCGUAGAAAUCCCUAAGUUAUAUUAUUAUCUCUCUUGAGACUAAUAACGUCUAACCCUAGGCUGAUAAUUGAAAUCUCUUUCUAAUUAACACUCUAGUGUUGCAUUAACUCGAUCUAUGGACUCCCUUAUUAGGUUUCACCCUAAUCCAGUAAAAUCUUGUCACCCUAUCUCUAGGCGUGCAAUCAACUCCGCUUAAUUAUGAAAAAUUUACUCUUAGAUAAGGACUUUUGCUCCUCUAAAUAAGCACAUUAACUUGAAUCAAUAUCUUGGAAUACUAAAACAAGAAUUAAGAACACAUAAUUAAGAACAAGUCAAAUAUUUAUCAUACAAUUCAGAAAAUAAUAACAAGAUCCGUCUUAGGUUUCAUUCCCCUUAGGUAUUUUGAGGUUUUAGUUCAUAAUUAUGAAAGAAAACAUCUCAAAAGAAUAAUGAUAACAAAACAUAAAGAAAACCCAAAACUCCUGAAGGAAAUUGAAGGGAGAUCCUCAGUCUUGACGAUGAAUCCGGCUUUUGAAAUGGAUCAAUCGGCUUUCCUUGAGUAAUUCAUUGCCUCCUACUCCCUAUGUAUCUUCUAAGUGCCUCCUCAGGUGUUUAAAUAGGCUUUAUAAUGUCUAAAAGCCCUCAAGAGUGGCCUUUUCUGAAUAGGACUGAACUUGGGCUCGAUAGGGACACGCCCGUGUGACACGCUCGUGUGCAAUUGCUUCAGACCGUAGUCAAGGCUACUAAAUAGGCAUGGGCGUGUGGUCUACCCGUGUGAGGAAGUCCAGGCCGUGUUGAUUUCUGAUGUUGGUCCAUUUUCUUCAUUUUCAGCCCGUUUCUCGCUCUUUUUACUCUCUUAUGCUCACCAAAGUAUAAAACAUGAAAUUAAAGGAUUAGGAGCAUCGAAUUCACCAAAUCUAAGGAGAAUUCAUCCAAAAAUAUGCUAAGCAUGAGGUAAAAAUAUGUAUAAAUUAUGGUUUAUUAAAUACCCCCACACUUAAGCGUUUGCUUGUCCUCUAGCAAAAUCCUCAACUCAAAAUCAAAAUAAAUUCUUCUUAACUUGUAACCCCUAUCAAUAAUAUCUCAAAAUAAACCAUAAGUAAUCAUGUAUUGAGAAUUCAACUAGAAAAGCAUUAAAGUCUCAAACAUUCCAAGUCGAGCAUUUUAUCACGAAAACAUAGGUGUUUCCCCUCAUCUAAGUGAUUACCUUUGAUUCAAAAUAUCACAAAGUUUUAACAUCCUCACUAAAGAUUCACUCAAAUCACUCGAGGUGUUUAAGGAUAAUAAAUGAAGCACUCAUUAGUCAAUAUGAAAAGUUAUUACCAAAGGCUUGUAUGAAAGUCAAAUCUCCACCACUAUAAAUUGAGAUGAUACAUCAAUCAAAAGGUCUUUAGAGGGUUGUAAAGUGGCUUUUGUUAGGGGGUGUAGUCACAAGCUGAAAGAAAGGUUAGAAUCAAGAUUGAAUUGAAAAAUUACCUAACUAGAAAAAUAACUAGUCAUUACUUGAAUACAUGUAAACUUCUUCUCAAAAUAUGAAAUUGAACACUUAAGCUCGAAAACAACGAAUUACUACUAAUAUAUGUAUGUAUUAUAAUUUUUUUUAAGAACAAGUCAAAUAAUAUAGGUUAAUUAUCAAAAAUAAAACAUAGCUAAGUAAUUUAUUCAAAUUAAAUCUCGACAAAAAUUGGGAUCAACUUGAUUGAGGGGAUUUCAACAGUAAUAGGUUAUAGGUUAAUAUUGAGGGUAAAUCAAUGGAUAGUUUGUUAGGCUCAAAGGGGUUCACUAAGGACAAAUUAUGAAGGUAGGCUUUUGUGGAGUGAGUGGGUUAAACCUAAGUGCCUUUAUCAUCUCGACAUAUUAAAUCAAAUGGUGUGGUCUUGACAUGCAUAAUCAAGCAAGUUCUAGAAUAACAAAUCAAUACUGACGCACUCAUAAUAAAAGUGAGCAUGAAAGAAAUAAAAUAUGAUCUAAAAGCUUAAAAUCUCACAAAAAAUUAUGGCUUUUUGAUGUUGAACCUGUGAAUUUCAACUCAAGAUAAUACCUAAACUUGGGGAAACAACCUAAAAAUUUUAAAUACUCAAAAAUCAACUUAUCAUGUCUGAUUUUCUAAUUCCUUCAAAGUUUAAACGGUCAAUGCAUAAAUACCUAUGUUUUAAUUCAAGACAUAUCAAUAAAAAUCAUAAAUUAAUCAAAAUUCAUUCUAAUAAUGAUAUGAGAAGAUUAUUUGAGAACAAGACAAAAUUUAAGGAUUUUUUUGAUAAUGAUAUAAAGGCCCCCCACACUUAAGAUGUACAUUGCCCUCAAUGUACAAAGUUAGAUUUACAACGAUAUAGAUAUAAGAUCAUAAGAUAGGGAGAGAAGUGAAACUUCCUGAAUAAUGAAUGAACUCCUUGAAUUGGAGUUAUGGAGAAUAAUCGGCAAAGGCAAUGAUAAGAUUGGAGGAGGAUACUUCGGUGGUGGUAGAGGUUGGGUUCCACAACCUCAGUGUCCAGCGAAGAAGUUAUCGUGGUGGUCGAGCAAGACAUUACAGUUAUGGAGAACCUUUUCCAGUGGAGUUUCAAGUUUCUAAGUGAUGGUGAGCUUUGGGGCUCUUAGUAACUGUGAUAAAAUCAAGAACUCUUUAAGAAAUGUAAGGAAGCAUAAUUACACGUAAUGAAAUAGCUGAAACUAUAAAUUAUUCAAUAAAAAUUAUAAAACCUAAAAAUGAAAUAAUAUUAAAGGAAAAUAAAAUAAAAAGUACUUAAAAAUGUAAAUAAAAAUAAAAUAUAAAAAGUUUUUAAACAUCGUCAUCGCUGGAUGGUUCGCAAGGUGGUGGUGGUGAUGAGAUGUGAAGGUGCUGACAAAUCUGAUGUAGAGUAGCAUCAAUGUUAUCAAAGCGCUGAAAACACUAUUGCUCAAAUCAAUAAGGCACUCAGAGAUGUCAGAGUAUGAAAUCGCCGCAUGAACUGGACGAUAGAUGGGUUGUGGCUGAAAUGGUGGGUCCUCAUGACGUGGAGGGACAUCAUUAGUAAUUCCUCCGGGUCCUCCUCCUCGGCUGACUGGAUGAGGCGGUACUGAGCAGAAUCGAUUCCAUGUCAUUUCUCGAUCAUCCUCAUAUGUAGCAUGCUUGAAAUACCCUGUGGGGACAUCUGGCCGAUGAGAGUGAGCGAGAAUGAUUGUGCCACUGUGUUAAAGAGUCCAAAGUGCCGAAUCAAUCGAGUCACAUAGGGGCCAAUAGAGAUGACUCCCUUCCUAUGCCGUUCCGUCUGAUGGCGAAUGGCGAAGGCAAUGAAAUAGGCGAGGUCGAAGAUGUGCCCAUUCGCCAUGCUCCAUAAAAAGUAGGCAUCGUGAGUGUUGACAAUGCCGGUGCUCUCUUGUCUUCCUGUCAGAGUGUGGGCCAAGAGGGCGUGUAGGUACCUCAAGGAUGGAGGGAGAGUUGAUGUUUUGGAACGGUUAGGGUCGUAGGUGGCCGAGGGAGGGACGAGGGCCUCCAGCACUUCGAGUGAGAGUAAUGGAUGUGGCGAUGAAGGAUGUCGAGUUCGUUGUAGUCCAUGAACUCCUCCGUAUACAGCCCUAGUACAAUUUUGAACUCCGGUACGCUCAAUUGGCACACUAAACCACCAAGACGAAACUGGACCGUUGUAGGAUCGUCGAACUCUGUCAUAACGGUUUGGAAGUGAAAGGUCGAAUAGAGUUCCAGUGUGAGCUUAAGGUAUAUCGGCUUGAUGAUCCCAAAGAAGAGCUCCCAUGGAUCAGUCGACAGAAGGGCUCUGACCGCGUCAACCAGUUGGACUUGUUCAAGUGCGGCCCAUUCAAUGCAGCGGCCCACACCUAAGGGUCAGGCCCGAAGUAUCUAAAAGAGUUCUUCCUAAGGUCCUAAGGGAAACUAAAUAAAGGGGUGCCUGAUCUCCACGGUAGGACCCAAGGAUGACACUGCUCAUUUCCUUUUCUUUGAAGCGGGGACAGCGAUUUUCUUACCAUGGUUUGACAUGAUAUCUGCAAUGGCAAGACGAAAAAAAUAAUAAAUAAAAAAGUAAACUUACUCUCCAACAAUAACAUGAAAAAACAUAUGCAAUGCAUGUUAAAACUAAUAGAGAUACUUUAUAGGAGUCAUGUACUAAAGAACAACUACGCUGAAAAAUAACCCAAUCAGAUAUAUUAAGUCAUUACUACGAAUAGGAAUAUGAUAAUAAUGCCUAGUGAAUGAAUGCAUAUGGAAAUGAUGAUAUGGAAAAUAGAAUGAAGUCCAUGGCAACACAAGAAUGGUGGUAUCAUAAUGCAUCAACUAAGAUAGCAAGAAACAAAGAGCAUAAGCAAGGCUAUUAUUAGAACUAUGAAGAUUAACAGUCAAAAUAAAACAAGAAAAAUCGAAUUCAUAAACGAAAUGAAGAGAAAAGAAUGGACAAACGCAAAAGCUUGGUAGAGGGAGGAGCUUGGGCCGUCGUUAGUGGUGUUGUGGUUGGCGCACGGGCGUGGCAGGAAGGCGUGGGCAAGAGUUACGGCGGCUACAGUUAGGGAUUUUGGGGAAGGGGAUGAUGAAUAUAAGGGGUUUAUUCAACUCGUGUUUAUCGCGAUUUUUAAAUUUGGGCACGUCUGAAAUUCGUCCCACGCCGAUGUCCUUUGGGCGUGUUGGUGCACAUGGCCGUGUCGUACGGUCGUGUCCUACUUCGUUCACUUCUCCCACGCUCGUGUGUAUAAGCACACGCCCGUGUUGUUUGAUCAGUCUUGAGCACGGUUGGUGGGCACGGGCGUGUCGCACACUUGUGCUAAAUUCUCAGUUUCAACCACGAUUUCAAGACACGGGCGUGUCACACGCCCGUGUUGAUUUGAAAGACUCACCCACGGCCACGUUACACAGCCGUGGCAACUUAUCACAUCUCGUGUUAAGCAAAAAUUUUUCCCUGUUUCCACACGGUCGUGUCGCAAGGCCGUGUCUCCUCCCGUAGUGUGAGCACGGCCUAAGGCACACCUGUGUGCCUCACCGUGUGAAUUAGAAAACCAGUAUUUCAAUGACUCAGUUAGUGAUUAGAUGUUAAAAACUAAAAUUUUAAAGAAGGUAACACUAUUAGUGCUCGGGUUACCUCGCGAAAAGCAUUUAUUUAUAGUCUAAGCUCGACUUACCUCUCUGUUGCAUAGUCAUGGUAGUGCAAGGAGUUUACACUCCUCAUCCCUGCUAUCAAUUUUAUCAAAAUAAGGUUUUAGACAAGUACUAUUUACCUUAAACGUACCGAAUUUGGGAUGAAUUACCUCGACUGUGCCGUAUGGGAAAAUACUAAGUACCGUAAGAGGGAUUUCUCCAUUAGGUUCAAAGGUGGCAAUCCGAAGGUCUGCUGCAUCUAAUAGUACUUUGUUUCCAACCUUAAGUUGAGUUGGAGAAAUAUUGAGCUCGUCAUGGCAUGGUUUUUUUUAUCGUGUGAUUUCGAUUUCUGUGUCUGCCAUUCAUCUAGUUCCUCAACCUGUAGCCUUGUUCUUCAUAGAUGGGUUCUUUGUCGUUAUUUGAAUGUGGCUCAAGUGUGUUUCUCGAAUGUGUUUCCUGCACAGAGGGUUUCACCACAUGAUCAGUACUGAUAGAAUUUCGAGCUUGAGGAGUAAUUGAUUCAUCACCCAUACGAAGUGUGAGUUUACUUGUGCCAACAUCAAUUAUAGUUUUAGCAGUUGCUAGAAAGGACCGUCUUAAAAUUAAAGGUGCGUCGCUAUCCUCUUCUAUGUCUAGAACAACAAAAUCAAUUGGGAAAAUAAAUUUAUCGAUUUUUACCAAUACAUCUUCAAUGAUACCCCUGGGAAAUCUAAUAGUUUUAUCAGCUAACUGAAUACUCAUCCUAGUUUGUUUAGGUUUCCCAAUACCUAGUUGUUUAAACAUUUUAUAAGGCAUGAAAUUGAUACUAGCCCCUAAAUCAGCCAAAGCGUUAUUAACAUCUAAGCUACCAAUUAAAUAAGGAAUCGUAAAACUCCUUGGAUCUUUCAAUUUGUUGGCCAUGAUGUCUCGUUGAGAGCACCAAAAAUAUCCUAUUCUCUGUAAAAUAGUAAAAAUAACAGUAAAAGGGAAGUAGGGUCGAAUCCUCAGGGACCGGAUUGUACAAAUGCUCGUUUCUUGAAAUCCUGGACAAUUUCUUGGCCAAGAAAACCUGCGUUCCUGAAAAAUAAAAAAAAUAAAAUUAAGAAUCUGGAAAAAAAAAUAGAAUUUAAAGGGAAUUGAAAUUGCGAAAUUAAAUAAAUUGUCGAAAUUAAAAUGAGGAAAAAUAAAUAGAGUUGGGAAAAGAGAAAGUUUCUUAUGUGGCGAGAUUCCAGGCUCCGGUUGUCUCGUUCCGCCUUGGGUUCAAUCCUUGGCCUUUAAGUAACCCUUCCCAACUCAAGUAAGCCAGUUAUAGUGGAAGAGGAUGCCUACGACCACCAGCUCCAAAGAUUAGACUUACGAUUUUUAGGGAACCUGACUCUAACCAGUAAUCUAUGCUAGAUCAACGCUUCUCAAUGGCGAAUCCCAAGUCAUUUUGUCUCUUUGGCUCGCCAACCUUUGACGCAGUAAAUUAACAAACCGACUGUGCAAUCCUUUCAAAACAUACAAAGCGGUCGCCUUUGCAUAUGCUGAAAAGCUUACUUCUUAAGGGCCAUGGACGGAAGCGUCAGCCCGUAGUGCGGAGAAACGAUGAAUACUUGGCGAGAAGGCUAAGUACGGGUUCUAGGCCUCAAAAACCCUUUUUUGGGGAAUAUUGACAACCUUCAGCUAGAUAGGUUUUAAUGGCUCAUGAUAAUGGUGGAAAAGGAAAUAAAUAUAAAAAUAGAAAAUAAAAUUUUAUUCAAAGAAAAUAUGAAGAAACAAAAGCCUAGACUUUUAGGGGGAGAGUGUUUAUAGAAAAAGAUGAACACCCCAAAUAGAGUCACUUCACCCCCUAUUUAUAGUGCUAGGGAGAUAAUCUAAUUUAACUUAAAUUCUAAAAAGAUAAAUACAUUUAAUUAAAGAUAAUUAAAAUAAAAUCCUAAAAUUAAAUAAUCCUAAUAAUUAUCUUAAUAAUAAUUAUUCUAAUAUAAAUAAAAUGGAGUCUUAUAAAAUAAAAUCUCUUCUUUUUGAGUUUUCAGUCCUUGUGUCAUCCAUGCUCGCACUUUUGGAACAAUCUUUUUCCUGUGUCGCAUAUCAGCCCAUUGUGUCUCCAAAUUCGCACUUUUGUCCCUUAAUUUUUCUUUUUGCCUCCAAAUCAGUCCUUUAAAGAUAAAAAGACAUAAAUAGCUAAAAUUAGUAUGAUCAAGCUCAGAAUAAAUAUAUAAUUAGCACAUAAAAACAUGACAUUCUAGAGUGUUAUCAGGCCAGCUUAUUUUGCAGAAUGGCUGAGCAAACUGCAUUCAUCUCCACAUGCGAUGCCUCAUCUAACUUCCGUUUAUUCGCUAAAAGCUCCUUUAAAAAUUUGACUGUGUUCAGCAUCUACGAAAAAGCUUCAAUAAACGGUAAGUUAAUAUGUAAUUUCUUUAAAAUUUUAAGGAAUUUACCGAAUUGUUCGUCUGAGUGGUCUUUCCUUGUCGUAUUUGGGUAUAGUACACGUGGUUUGUACUCUUUACUUACCUGUUUUUGCUCAUUAUGGUCCACCUUACCUCUACCUUUACUUACCACAAUUUCUUGCCUUAGUUCUGGUUGAGGUGCAACUAACCCUUCCUCAUCUUGAAUGGUAAUCGCAUUGAGCUAUUCCCUUGGAUUAGAUUUAGUGUUACUCAACAGGCUACCUUGUGGUCGUUCAGAUACCAAUUUAGCAAGCUGGCUUAUCUGAGUUUUGAGCCCUUGAAUCGACACUUGUUGAUUCUUAAGUGCUUUCUUGGUAUUCUAAAAACAAGUUUCUAACACUGAGAUGAAUUUUGUUAGCAUCUCCUCAAGGUUCAGCUUUUUCUCUUGUUGGUAAGGUGGUUGUUGGAAGCCUGGAGGUGGUGGGGGUCUCUGAUUUCCUUGGCCUCCCCAUGAAAAAUUUGGAUGGUUCCUCCAACCUGCAUUUUAAGUGUUACUAUAAGGAUUAUUUUAAGAUCGAGGAUUAUUACCCAUGUAAUUCAACUGCUCAUUUUCCAUACUGUGGCCAUAAGGUGGGUAUUCUGAAUUGCUUGAUCCACCUCUACUUGCUUCGCACUGCAUUACUAGGUGAACCUGUGAAUAACCAAAUAACCCGUCAAUUUUCUUAUUUAAUAGUUCUACCUGACUAGAGAGCAUCAUGACUAAAUCAACGUUAAAAACGUCAGUUGUUUUAGUCGGCUUUGUCCUCAUUACUUGCCACUGAUAAUUAUUCAGUGAGAUCUCUUCUAUAAAUUCAUAAGCAUCUUCAGAUGUCCUAUUAUUGAUAGUCCCACCAGCGGAUGCAUCGAUAAGUUGCCUUGUUGAGGGGUUUACACCGUUGUAAAACGUCUGAACUUGCUGCCAUAGAGGCAACCCAUGAUGAGGGCACCUUCUCAACAGAUCUUUGUAUCUCUCCCAUGCAUCAUAAAGCGUUUUUAGAUUCAUCUGCAUAAAAGAAGAGAUAUCACUACGUAAUUUAGUCAUUUUAGCCGACGGAAAAUAUUUUAAUAAGAAUUUUUUAUUGUCAUUUGUUCCCAAGUAGUGAUUGACACUCGUGGUAACGAGUUCAACCACUGUUUAGAUUUGUUCCUCAAUGAAAAGGGAAAUAACCGAAGACGAAUGGAAUCAUCAGAAAUGCCAUUAAUUUUAAAUGUGUCGCAAAACUCUAGAAAAUUUGCCAAGUGAUUGUUCCUCAUCCUGCAAACUAUCAAACUAAACAAAUUGUUGUAUCAUUUGAAUUGUGUUAGGUUUUAGUUCAAAAUUAUUUGCAGCAACAGCUGGCCUAACUAUACUUGACUCAGUUCCUCUUAAAGUAGGUUUAGCAUAAUCAUACAUAGUACGCGGAGUAGGAUUCUGAUUAGCAGCAAUCGCAAGAGGUAGCGGAUUUUCCUGAUUUUCAGUCAUCUCCUCAGUUGUGGUGGAAAUAUCGUCCUCUUGCUCUUUCUCUGUGUAUCUUAGGCUUUGCCUUAUUUCUCUUCGAUUUCUGUGAGCUGUGCGAUCGAUCUCACUAUCAAAAAGUAAUGGUCCUGACGGGUUUCUUCUAGUCAUGCACUAUAAAAACUUGCCAUAAGCGAAUAAACGAAAAAUAAGAAUAAGAAAAUAAAAUAAAAAUUCAAAUUGCAACAAAAGUAAAAUGGCUAAAGUAAUAAAAAUUGAGUGUUCCUAAUAUCUUCGUUCCCCGGCAACAGCGCCAAAAACUUGAUACGUGAUAUUCGCGACAGGUUUUAAAAAUUUAUAAUUAAUCAUUCUUGAAACUAACUAUUAUCACGAUGAAGCCAAAUGUACCUAUCGAACAGCAAUAUAGCUUUAGCAAGACCGGAUUGUCAAACCUAAAGGAACCAAGAGUAUUAGUAAUUGCUUUCUUUUUAUUAUCUAGCCUAAAAAUUAAGGGAUUUGUUUAUCUAACUAAUUAACUAAACUAAGGGUGCACAGAAAGAAAAUUGGGGAAAAGCUUUUGGGAAAACUCAAUUGAUUAAGACAAUACCCAAGGAAAAAUCCACCUAGACUUCACUUGUUAUUUGACUCUGAAUCAGACGAUUUAUUCAUUUGACUUGAUCCGUAGAAAUCCCUAAGUUAUAUUAUUAUCUCUCUCGAGACUGAUAACGUCUAACCCUAGGUUGAUUAAUUGAAAUCUCUUUCUAAUUAACACCCUAGUGUUGCAUUAACUCGAUCUAUGGACUCCCUUAUUAGGUUUCACCCUAAUCCGGCAAAAUCUUGUCACCCUAUCUCUAAGCGUGCAAUCAACUCCGCUUAAUUAUGAAAAAUUUACUCUUAGACAGGGACUUUUGCUCCUCUGAAUAAGGGCAUUAACUUGAAUCAAUAUCUUGGAAGAUUAAACCAAGAAUUAAGAACACAUAAUUAAGAAUAAGUCAAAUAUUUAUCAUACAAUUCAGAUAAUAAUAACAAGAUCCGUCUUAGGUUUCAUUCCCCUUAGGUAUUUAGGGGUUUUAGUUCAUAAUUAUGAAAGAAAACAUCUCAAAAGAAAAAUGAUAACAAAAUAUAAAGAAAACCCAAAACUCCUGAAGGAAAUUGAAGGAGAUCCUCAGUCUUGACGAAUAAUCCAGAUUUUGAGAUGGAUCAAUUGGCUUUGCUUGAGUAAUUCAUUGCCUCCUACUCCCUGUGUGUCUUCUAAGUGCCUCCCCAGGUGUUUAAAUAGGCUUUAGAAUGCCUAAAAGCCCUCAAGAGUGGCCUUUUUCGAAUAAUACUGAACUUGGGCUCGACAGGGACACGCUUGUGUGACACGCCCGUGUGCGAUUGCUUCAGACCAUGGUCAAGGCUGUUAAAUAGGCACGGGCGUAUGGUCUAUCUGUGUGAGGAAGUCCAGGCCUUGUUAAUUUCCCAUGUUGGUCUAUUUUCUUCGUUUUCGGCCCAUUUCUUAUGCUCACCUAAGUAUAAAACAUGAAAUUAAAGGAUUAGGAGUAUCGAAUUCACCAAAUCUAAUGAUAAUUCAUCCAAAAAUAUGCUAAGCAUGAGGUAAGAAUAUGUAUAAAUUAUGGUUUAUCAAUGGACUAUCACAGAAGGUGUCAUAGGUUUCUCCAACAUGGGCUUAUACAUAAUUUCAUGUAUUGUGAUCUGCCAUUUCAAAUUAUACAUUAUCGAAGGCUACACCAUAAGCAUAUAUACAGACAUAUCUUGCAAUGGGUCUUAGCCAUAUAGCUUACACACACAUUCAUGUAUUGUAAUCUGCCAAUCCAAUCUUCAUCUUAUUAGAGGCUACACCAUGAGUGUUUCCAAAUCAAAGUAAGAUGUCAUGGGUCUCAACCUUAUAGUUUAUUCUUGUUUUCGUAUCGUGAUCUGCCAGUCUAGUUAGCAAUAUAACUGCCCUACCAGAGGCAUCAUAGAGGAAAAUUUGCUCAGCAUUUACUUCCCUAGAUGAUCACCUUUUUACUAGCUCAUACAUCUCCUACAUCAGACCUUACCUGCAUGCUUACCAAACAUUAUUCUUUUUAAUAGAAUUUAUACAUAUCAUCGUAGCACAUCUUUCAUCUUUGCUAAACUCAUAUUUAUACUAAUUUCUGUAGACAUCAUCAUCACAUAUAUAUAUGCUUCUUGUUUGAACAGUUCAUAUCAAAAAGUCAGGAUAGAGACCCACUUAACUCUCAUCUAUUGCAGUUCAAAGUUCUGGACUCAACCACCCUUCUCAAACCAACAGUAAAAACUGCUUACAAAACAUAGAAUCACCAUUAAAACUCAUUUACAUACAAAUUACCAUCAUCUUAAUCACUUUUCCGCUGCUAAUUAAUAAAUAAAUGUUGAGUAGUAAAUAAAUAAAAAAUUAACUAAGUUUUCAAAAAAAAAAAGUCACUGUGAUGAGAAGAAUAAGUUUUCAAAAACAAAAGUCACCGUGAUGAGAAGAAUGUCAAAAUUAAUUGGUUUUUGUUAACUCAUAUGUUUUUCUAAAAAUAGGUUAAGUUUUCUUCUGAAAUAAACAAAUAUUUUGAAAUGAUUGUUUUAUAAACUCCAAUCAUAGGCCAUCUUAGUGGUCGAUGUAAUCUCCCAAAUUCGGUUCUAACAUCUAGGUUGGGUUGGAGAGGUUACAAUAUAUAUAGAAGGAUUCAUCAAUAAUGGAAACUUGAAUACAAGCAAAGAAAGAAAUCAAUCAAUGUGAAUUACUAACAAGUUCAAAAGCAUAUAUUUGGAUUAUAUUUUGUAAAGUACAAGAAUGUCAAGGAAUUAGACAUUUUGUUUUGAUAGUGAUUAUAUUUUAUAUAUAUUUACUUUUAUGCACUUUCAUAUUGAGUUGAUCAACAGUUUUGAAACUUUAUAGAAAACUUCAAGGUAUCACUUGUUGCGUAAGUGAUAUUUUACUAAGGGUGCAUAAUUGGAGGCCUCCUAGAUAUGUGAAAAUAAUGUUUAAAAAUCCAUCAAAUAGUAAAAACAUAAAUGAAAUAGCAUAUUGAUAUAUAUGGUAUCUUGAGUGUUGAAUUAAACAUUCUUUAGUAAAAGAAUGUACAUUUUGCACAUUGUGGGUGUGUUGGUUUCUUAUAUAUCAAUUAAGCACAAAUUAAAGAAAAAUAAUAUAUAUCACCAUAGUGUUGUAAUAUUUUGUAAAAUUUGUAAAAUUAUAUAAGCAAAAAAGUUUACCUAUCUCGUUAAAUAAAACUCAUUGAGUUGGUUCUUAAUAUUGAAGAAUUAGAGUGGUUGACUUCUUUAUUCAUUUUAUCCAACUACAAGUUGGAUUAAAGUUGUGGAAAUAGAAUGGUUGAAAAUUUGUGUUAAUGAGAAUUAAAGUUGUGGCCACAACUGAUGCCGACUAUUUUCUAGAAACAGGGACUGAUGUCCAAAACAUGUAGUAAAAUAAAAUUUUAGACAUGUUAGCAUAUGAAUUUAUUAUAUUAUAGAUUCAAUGUAACACCCCUAUCCUAUCUCUGUUGCUGGAUUAGGAUUUCAGACUAUUACUAAGAAAAAUAGAACAUUUAACUUUCCAACAGAAACAAUUAUACAAUUAAAUACCAACAUAUAUCAAUUAAAUCUAAUCAUGGCAAAUAUUACACUUAUAGACCUUGAAUCGAGCCUAUGGAGCCCUAGAAAAAAUUUAGGAACAAUUUGGGAUCAAAUCGAAACAAAUCAAAACAUUUUGAAAAAAAUAUAAAAAUUUGGGAAAACAGGGGUCACACGGUUGUAUGGCCAAGUCGUGUGACAAAGCCUACACCGCGUAAACAUUAGAAGUCAAAACACUCAACUGUGUCCCAGCCUGUGUGUCUACUCAUGUGUAUAAUCGAAAUAGGGUCACACAGCUGUGCUGCAGACUGUAAACCGUGUGUGUAUUCGAAGUUAGGUCACACGACCAUGUGACCGACCGUGCCACAAACUGUUUUGAGACACACGGUCGUGUCACAGACCAUGUGAAAUAUGCACCUAAAAUAAUAAAUAUACACGACCAUGUGUGGUGACUAUGUGUGGCACAUGGUCGUGUGGUAGCUUGUGUCUCAGGCUGUGUGCUCCAUUUUUAACCCCUAAAUUAAGUUAAUCAAGCAUCAUUUCUUGCACAGCAAGACAUACCAUAUCUAACUAAUUUUACAUGGUAAAAAUCACAUUCAGAUCACCAAAUACAUACCAAAAUUUCAUUCAUCCUAUGUCUAACCAAUAUACCAUCAAAAGGCAUCUCAAUCCAUACAUUCAUUCAACUCAAGAACAAAGUUACAAUAAAGGAACAAGUUUUAUCAUUAGUUAACCAUUCAUGCCUAAAACCACCAAUCUAAUUGACGAAAAUAUGGGCAUACUCAACAAGCAACCAUUUCAAAACAUCAUCACCAAAUCUUUAUAUACCAUUUAGGAUCAACUUAAUUAUAUCCAACACAAGUACACAUCCAAAACAAAGCACAUCACUAGAAAUACCAAAAUAACUUAACGAUUUACACAUCAACAAUAAGACACCACAUCCCAAAAUGAAAUACAAAAGCUACCGAGAUGGCUGGAUAGUGUGUGCUCCAAAACAAUUCGUCUAGUCAGUCCAUAAAACGCCAACUCAACCAAUAUAGAUAAACAAAAAAGAUAAGUUCUAAUUCUUGAUAUUCAAAUGCAAGAUCACACCACAUUAGUAUAUAUUUAUUUACAUCAUAAAUGAUACCUUCCAAAAGUCAUAACCAAUUCAUCAUCCAAAAUUUCUCAAUACAACCAUUAACAUUUAUAAAACAAAAACUUCAUAGAAACAUUUAUCAUUUAGUAGUAAUAUAACUAUCCAACAAAAUUGAACAAAUAAAUGAGUUUUAAGUCAUUUGAUGCAUAUCCCGCUGAACUAUAGUAACUAGACUCGGAUACUCAAUGAUGCAUAACAGAGGCACCAAAGUGCAAACAGAGGAAGGAAUAUGCAAUCAAAGGCAUUGAAGUGCAAACAAAUGCACCAAAGUGCAAACCCGUACAAGCGCACAUUAAAACCCUAUUGGCAUACUAAUCGUAUCCUAAUCAUUUACUAUGUUCAAUGGGGCAUUAAGAAUGGGGCAUUAUACUUAAAAUCGCAAUACCAAUAAAUCCAUCAUUUAGAGGCACUUCUUAUUUCCGUACACAUAAUAACAAUAAUUACCAUCAUCAAACAUUCAUUUUAUAUUUGUACUUAAUUACAAAUUUUAAUAAUAUAUAAGUAACUAAUGAAAUUUCCCAUAUAUACCAUUAACUAGAAAAAAAUAAUAUAAUCAUAAAGAGAUACACAUAUACAUAUUAUUACAUUAUGAACUUACCUGCAAUCCACUUCCAAAUAAUAUACAGGGACUACUCCGCAAUUUUUCUCUUUCCUCGAUUAUUGUCUUUUUGACUCGGUUCUUGAUCUAUAUAAUAAUUAAAUUUAAUUUAUUAAAUUUACAUAAUUUAAAAAUCAAUUCAAUGCAUGACACCCUUAUGUUUUCAUUAUUUUCACAUUUUCCUUAAACUUUUACAUUUCUCACAAUUUAGUCCCUAAACCCGAAAUUCCAAAAUUUAACAAAAUUUUACAAUUUUCCAUGCUAGCCGAACUUCUUUCUAAACUAGUACAAUCCCCAAUUAUUUACAAUUCACAAAAUUUCUAUGCAAAUUUUAAUUAUUUACACAUUGAUCAUUAAACUCAAAAUUAACACAAAUUCUUUUACAAAAAUAUCCUAAUCAACAUUCAAAUAUAUACAACUACCAUUAAAAAUCAUGAACACCAAAAUUCCAUUACUAACCAAUCCCUAAAACUUCAACAUUUUUAUAAUUUCAUCCUCAGGUUUAAUAGUUUAAGCUACAACGAGUUCAAAAAAUAUAAAAAUUAUUAAAUAUGUGAGAGAGAAACACUUACAUGCACCAAUUUGCUAACCGAAACUUUAAGCUCAAAAAAUGGAGUUUCUUUUUUUCUUUUUCUUUUUUGGUAGGAGAGAGUUGAGAAGAUGAUGAUACCAUAUUUUAUCUUUUGUUUCUUUUCUUUAAUUAAACUAAUUACCAAAUUAACCUUUUAAUCUGAACUAAAUUAUUAACAUAACAUGACCAUAAUUUUCCAUUAACUAACCAUAAGGUUUAUCUAUCAAUCAAGUCCAUUAUUUUAGUUUUUCUUUAAAAAUCAAGCACAUUUAACUAAUAAAAGCUACUUUAGCAUAUUUUACAAUUUAGUCUUUUUUACUAAAUUAACUAACUAGACAUUAAAAUUUCUUAUCCAAAUUUUAAUACGACUCAAAUAUAACUCUAUAAACAUAAAAUAAACAUAAAAUACUAACUCACUUGUUGGAAUUAUGGUCCUGAAAUAACCAUUUUCGAUACUACUGAAAAAUGGGAUAUUACAUUCAAUCUCUAAUUUAUGCUAAUGAAUGUGAGAGAAUAAUUUUCUUUGUAUAGUAAUACUACAACUAGAAUGUGUUUCGAUCCUAUUCUUAGAAACUGAUAGUAGAAACCCAACUUUUAAUUAGAAACCUCUUGUUUUAAAGUUCAAUGGGUAAAAGCAAGUUAUCGUUAUAUGUCUGUGAUACACUAGUAAAACUCAUUAUAGAAAAAAAAAGUUUAAUGGAAACUAGUGUUAUCCAUUGCGUAUAGAGGAUGAAUUUGAAUACUAUUAAUGAAGUUCAUUGUUUAUUGUUUAAAUGUCUAAAGCAAGGGAAACAUUAAAAGAACUCUACCUAUAUAAACAUAAGAAGUGAUGCCACUUCAACAAGUAAAGGUAGGGUCUCUCUUGUAAAUGUUUAUUAUGAACAAGAUAAGCACAUGAUCAUUUUAGUGCUAAAAGUGAACAACCUCUGAUAGAAAUAUAAAUGAAUAUUAUGUGUAGUGUAUUUCAACUUCUAAUACUAGGAGUUGUGGUUCAAUCUUCGGACACCAACGACUUAUUAGAACUUUGAAAAGCAUCCGCUAAUUGAUGGUUCAUAUUGAGAGAUAUCAUCUUAUAUGCAUAAUAUUUGUUGGAGUGAAUGGCUAUAAAGUAUGGUACCAACAUUUAAACUAAGGGUGAUUGUUAGUAGUUUAUAAUGUUGGCAGUAAAAAUAUUUUAUUAUGUAGAAAAGUCUAAUAACUUAUAAUUAUUGGCCAAAUAAUUGUGUUGUAAAGAGAAUUUUUGUAUGUAAAGUUGUCUUAUAAACUUUAUGUAAAGUUGUGUUGUAAAACAACACAAUUAUAUGAAAAGGUAUCUUAUUAAAAGAUAUAUUCAUAUUAAAGGGUAUCUCAUAAAAGAUACAUCUAUUGGAUGUCUAUAUAAAAGACUUUUCUAUUAGUCAUUUAAAUUGUUUUACUUGGAGUGUUGAGGCCUUUAUUGUAUCUUGAAGGUAUUUUAAAAUCUUAAAGAAAGUGCUCUACAUGCCUCAAAGUCGUUAUAUUUUAUAACAUUAUUUUAUUUUUCUAACUUCUAUUUUCCUAUUAUUUAUUUUUCUAACAGCCAGAAUAUAGAAAAAUUAUUAUGUUUCUAACUAUAUAUUAAAUACGAGUACUACUUGGAAGCCAGCACCCACAAACAUGAUAAAAGUUAAUUUUGAUGAGAGUUUUGACGUGGAAGCAAGAAAUGAGGAAGAGGGUAGUUAUGCAGCAUUGUGAUGGUUUUUUAGUCCGACUACGCAACCAUCCAAUUUAGGGUGCGUUCUACAUUAAGGUGAAAAAGCACUUAAAAAGAACAUUUGGUUUUUACACUUAAAAGUGUGAUGGAAAAAUACUUUUUCAUUCAAAUACAAAAAUUAAGAUAUAAAUGCUUUUGACUUUUAGCUUUUACAUUAGAAUGUGAAAAUUAUCAAAUACUAUUAUUUAUAUUAACUAUUUAAAGUGUAUAUAAAAAUUAGAUUAAUUUAUAUUUUAUAUAUCAUUAUAUUAAAUUAUUUAAAUAUUAUUUAUUAUUAUAUCUUUUAAUAAUUUAUAUAUCAUCUAUUUUACAAAUAAUUUAUAUUAAUUACUUCAAAAAUAUUUGGAACUUAUAUUUCAUGUACCAUUAUAUUAAAUUAUUUAAAUAUUACAUAACUUAAAAUGUCCUUUUCUUUAGACAUGAUAGACUUUUAACGGGAAUUUUUUGUAGUAACGGAGAACACCAAAAACUAAUGAGUACAUUUUUUCAUAGCACUUUUCUACCACUUUUCAACUACAACGGUAAUGGAGAACUAAUCCUUACUAAAGUUACCGAAGCACUAGCUUCCACUGUAGCCAUUGAAAUGGGGCUCCAAUUGGGAUUGCAACACAUUAUUAUUAAAAGAGAUGCUCUCUAAGUGGUUUCGAAGUUGAAGGAAGACAAAGAAGACCUACCAACAAUCGGACCUUGAUAGCAAAGAGUUGAAUACUUGCUAAACAGGUUCAGCAAUGUAGGUUUCAACAAAGAAAGAGGCAUGCUAAUGAGGUGGCACAUCAUCUGGCCAAACAGGGUGCAAUGCCCAAUUUCUGCCCGGGCCUAAUCAAAACAGCCCAAAGCAGAAAGCCCAAUUUUUCUAGACCUAGCCCACAACUAUUUUCAGCACCACCAUGCACCCAUUUUCUCCACCACUCUUCCACUCCAGAACACCCACGAACGGUUUCCCUCCAUGCCAUACAUACCUGCAAAAUAGAUUAAUGACUCAUAGCAGUUGACAGUAGAAAGAAAUAACAACAGGAAACGGUUUUGUACUUGGCUAUAAAGCCUUUGAAUUUUUCAUUGUUUGGUUUUUUUUUCUUUCUUUUUUUUUUCAGAGAGAUUGUACACGAAAUACAUACAAAAAUCAAUAGAAAGCAAUUCAAAGGUGAUUUAUCGCUAUUUAUUGUGUUUUUUUUUUCAAUUGGGUUUACAUACAAGUAUAAAAUAUAAGAGAGAACGAGAGGCUUACCGGAGUUAUAUCGCAUUCACGCCGUCGGUAGGACUAGCUCCGUUGGUCACGAACAGAUUUUGGGAGUGGUUGGGGGCUUGAAAGGAGCCUUUCGGCUGGAGAAUAAAGGGAGAGUGAGGGAGAUGAUAUAAUAUCCAAGGCAUUUAGGGUUUUUUUUUUUAAAUAAAAGUUAAAAAGUUUUCUUUUAAGCACAAUUUUUAAAGCGGGUUUUAGGUGAUAAGAAUGAAACAGCAUGGGGAAGGGAAAGGAAUAGCGUGUUUAACUUGGUCCACGUGCAUUUACCCCUUAAAUGGGUAAUUUUCGUUAUCAGUCCUCCUUACUUGCGUCACCCUUUAUUUGAUCCUAUUCUGUUUCUUUUAUUUUUGCCUUGAAUUUUGCGCACCGUUCCAAUUUAGUCCGAGCAUGAGUGUUGCUUUUUUGGGGUUGGGAACAUUUUCAAUUUUAGCCCUUAUACAUUCACGCGCAUUGCGCUUUGGUCCCUAUUUCAAUUUCAAUGGUUUUUUUAUUUGUUAAUUGUCCCUUUAAUUUUGCUUUUCUUCCAAUUAAGUUUUUAUUUAUUUUUUCCAUAAAAUAAGAAUAUAUUAUUUUAACAUAUAGUUUUGUUCAACAAAAUUCAUAUAUAUUUUUGUAUAUAUUAUUUUAACAAAAUAAGAAUAUAUUGUUUUCUUCAUAUGCAUAUUUAUUUGUUUUUUCUUCCAAAAUAAUUUCAUAUAUCAUUUUGUAUUUAUAUACUUUACUUAUAUUAAGUUUGCUUUAUAUCAUGUAUAUACGUAACUUAUACUAAGUUAUCUUUACUCUAAGUGUACAUUAUUGACUUCCUUUUAUUUUAUGUAAAUAUUUCCUUUUAUUUUAUUUUUUUAUGUAUAUUAUUGAUUUUAUGUUAUUUUAUGCUUGUUUAUUUUCUUCUAAGGACCCUAUUUUAAAUGGUAUAUUUUAUUUAUUUUCGUAUGCUAGUACCUUUGUUUUUUUUAUGUAUAAAUUUUCAUUUCAAGUAUUAUUUAUUUAGAUUGACAAAUACUAUGCUAUGUAUUACUUUUUUUAUAUAUAUACAUUAUGUGUCUUGAAAUAUCGUUUAUAUAUUAUUAUGUCGUACAUUAUUUUUAUUUUUAUUAUUUUUUGACCUAUUCCAGACUGUCAUAUAUGUUACCUUAAGAUUUUUAUACAUUUGUUUGAUUGCAUACUAACGAUUCCAAAUUGCAUUUCUUCUAUAUUAUCUAUAUUAUUUGUUAAAACUUGCCACAUACUUUUAUCUCAUGUACAAAACUAAGCUUGUACACAUGUUAUUGCAUCAUGAUCUUUAAAUUCCAACUCUUUGCCCAACAUCAAUCGUUUUUUAUCCCCAAGCAAACCAAACAAGUAUUUUUAAUUCGGUUUUUAUAACUGUUAAUUUAAAAAUUUCCCAAAACAAAGGCAAUGUUUGAUGUUUGAAAUUUUGGAAAUCGUGCCCUAACGUACUGGGUUUCGAUUUUUCGUUUAUCCAAAAUAAUCAAGUAUCCCCUUUAAAGUUUCGUAUGUGUUUUCUAAACUUCAAAACAAGGCAAUGUUCUAUGUUUUGGAAAUCCGAGAAAUCGUGCCCUAACGUGUUGGAUUUCAAUUUUUCGUUGGACCAAAUGAUCGAGUAUCCUUUUGAAAUUUCAAAUAUAUGAGCUUUUGGAAAUUAAGACUCGGUUGUGGUUUCGAGGGUUUAGAAAGUUAUGUCUUAACGUGCUGGAUGUGAUAUUUUAUUCCUUCAUAACAAAAGAAUUCUUAAUGACCAAUUUGAGUUAUUCAAAUAUUUUAAAAGAAAUAGUAUUUCAAAAUAUCUUUUAAAUUUUAGACAUAAGGACAUUGAUUAAUCAAUUAGGUACCAAUUUUGGGCGUCACGAGGGUGCUAGCCCUUCCUCGUGCGUAACCGACUCCCGAACCCUUUUUUCUCGACUUACGUAGACCUGAAAUUAUUGUUUUAAUAAAUCAAAAUGUUUUAUUAAAAUGAUCAAUUUCAAGGUGAUCCGAUCCCACCUCAGAAGGGAUCGGUGGCGACUCCAAACUUUGAUUUUUCAAAGUCGAUCCCCGUUUUUUUCAAACUUUUAGAAAAUGGUUUCGACACAAGGCCUUAAUUGUUUUCCAUCUUUUGUUCAUAUGUUUGUUUUGAAAAGGUAAAACAAAUCCUCACCUAUUGAUGUUAGAACGGUUGAAUUGCUAAAAGCAUGCUGCGUGCAUAACCAUGCUUUAGGUUAGGCUUCAAAUCAAAUAAAUUUUAAAUUAUUUUUAUUUGAAUUUAAUUAUAAAAAUAUAUUAAUAUCAAUAUAAAAUUAUAUACAAUUUUAAGAUAUUUUAUUUUUCAAUAAUAAAACGAAUCAUCUACCAACCCUAAUUCUUCAGUUUUCUUUUUAAUUAGAUGAUAACUCAAGCCAAGCUAACCAAUAAACACCCAAAAUCUACCAUCAUUUUCAUUUUUUUUUCUUUUGUCACAAAGUAGACAGAAGAUUCGGUUUGGAUAAGCUCUACGUUAUUAAGUCAAAAGCUGAAGUAAUUUUAAUCAUAAAUUGUUUUAUUUGUUUAUAAUGCAAAACAAUGACCCAAUUAAUACAAUAAAGCUUUAACUUUGUGGGAAUUUUCAGUCCAAAAAAAAAAAAACAAUUUGUGGAAAUUUUAGAGCAGUUGACCAUUUCUUCCGAAUUAGUUUUCUCACUUCUUGUCCAUAUUCCAUGUAUAUUAUUUCAAGAAAUUAGGUUUAGAAAAUUGCAUAAUUCAACCAUUGAACUAAUAAAUAUUAAAGAAAAAUUGGGUGGCAAAAAUAUCUUAUUAAAAGCGAAUCAUAUACUAUUAAUAGAUUUUAUGAUUAAAUUAGUUUCACGUGUUAACGGGAUAUUAACUUGAUUUAGUAAAUUAUAAAAAUGUCUUUUAAUGUUUAAAAUAAAUUAUAUUAUUUGAAGAUAUUUUAAUUUUUUUAUUAAAAAAGGAUGAUGUCUCAAAUUAACUCACAAUCUAAUUUAAUUUUUUAUUUUAAUAUCGUAAAUGUUUCAUGUUUUAUUAUUAAUUUGUUUCAAAUUAUACAUUUCAUUAUUUAUUUUAUGUUAUUUUUAAACAUAUUUGUGUUCUAAAUACCAAAUUUUCACUUAAGGGUAUCAGAGACGAAUCUAGAGAGGCUAGUAGGGGCCCCGGUCUCCUUAAAAUGAAAAUUAUUAUUUAAGCCCUUUAGAAAAUUUUAAAAUUUUAAAUUAGUAAAUGUAAAAUUGCACUUUGACCCCCUAAAAUUAUAAAAAUUUAAUUUAAUCUUUUAAAAAUUAUAAAGAUAUAAACUAGUAAAAAUUAAAAUUUCAUUUCGAUCCUCCCUAAAACAUAUUUUUGGCUUCACCUAAAGGGUAUGACUAGUAUGAAUAAUUUUCUUUGGAAGUCUUAAACAAACAGGAGUUAAGUAAAAAGGAGUUUUCAUACAUACAUAUUCGGCGUUGAUGUUUCCCUUUCGAAAAUUUAAAUUAAGACAUAGGAAAAGAAACUAAAAUUGAGCUUAAUUUAUGCAGUUGGGUUCAAAAUUUAAUAUUUAAAUAUAAAAAUUCUAAUAAUUCGAUCUGGUCCGUUUCAUCUAGCAGACUAAUAAUAAAUCUUAAAACAUAUUAUAUUUUAAUUUUAAUAAAACCAAAACUGAUACAUUUGACCUACAUCUACAUGUGAUCUAUGCUUAAUUAAAUUAGUCUAAAUUAGACGAGAUCUUGAUUAGGAGUCAUUUAUUUAUAUUAUAAGUCCCUGAAACAUGCAAAACUUACAUUUAAAAAUUAAUAUUUUUACGUUGUUGUUAGAAUAUAGGGUUUGUUAAUGUUUUCGUGUGAAGUCAGCUGUUGACAUUACCAACCAGAUAAUGAAAAGGGAACAUGGCAAUUAUUCCAUCCUAAUUGUCACACACACACACACACCUAAUUAAGUUAAUCCAAAAAUUACCUAACGUUUAGCAUUUCAAUGGUAGAGUCAGCUCUUUCUUCUAGUCUAUCAAAAAAAAAAAAUCAAUUUAACCCCUAACUCUUGGAUGGAAAAGUUUUUGCUAUGAACUUGUUGAAGUGAAUCUAAUGUGAUAUAAACACAUCACAAUCCAUGUGUGUAAUUAAAAAUAAUAGAGAGAGAUUGAAUAAUUUAAAGGGAAAAAAAAAGAAUUUACUCCCUCCACUAACAGGUAACUCUUGCAGCUUGAAUCUACAACGUAUGUAUGAAAGUGAACACCUUUAAUUAAUGAAUAAAUACUAAAGUUCUAGGUUUAGAAUUAAUUAAAUAUCAAUACAAAAAGUUAAUUACUUUUUGAAAUAAGGAUAAAUCGGUUUUUGAGGUUUGAUAAUUUUUCACAUAUCGAGGUUUGAAUUUUUUUAUCUUAAGUUCUAAACUUGACAAUAGUUCUCAAGAUGUGAAGGUUUUUUUUUUAUCCAAAUUAGGCUAUGAACUUAGAUAGAAAUCUUAAAAUUCAACCCUAAUGUAGGUAUAAUUGUCAAGUUAAAAAAAAUUCAAAUCUUAAUAGAAGAAUAAUCUACUAAUUGGUAACCCUAAUAUAAAAACAAUUGUUAAGUUGAAAACUUAAUUUUUUUUAAAAAUUCAAACCCUUAUUAACUUUAGGAUUUAACCCUUUGAAAUAUUGCGUUAAUUAAUAAGUGUAAGAAUUAUUUUGUGUUAAUGAUUAAAUAAAUAUUUAAGUGGAGAUCAAGUUUUACCUCAUUUGUCAAUUGUCAGGUGAAGAAUAUAUACCCUAAAGGCCUAUCAAAAACGGACCUAUCUCUAUAUAUCUUUACUAAUUUACUAUUCAUUUUUAAUGAAAAGCAAUAAAUUAAUGAAAACGCUAUAAAACGAAAACUACAUGAAUAAAUUAUAUGUGUAAAAUUGAAAUAUUUCGUGACGACAUUAUUGAAAAAAAUAAUCAUUAACCUUAAAUAUAAACAAUUAUGACAUUUCUAUAAAAUAUCAUUUAAUAUAUUGCAUCAAAGUUUUAAAAAAUGUUAUGUGUAUACUUUUACCUCGUAUAAAAAAGUCUUUCAUUUCUCAAUUCUUAUGGCAUAGUAAAUUUAUUAUUAAUUUUUAAAAAAAAUGGUUAUUAUUUGUGUAUUAAAUAAUUAUUGGGAUAAAUUUUAAAGUUGUACAUGGAUUUUGGUUACAUGUUAAUUAUAAACAUUAACUUUGAUUUUAUAUAAUUUUAUAUAUGAAAUUUUAAUUUGAUCCAAUUCUCAUAAAUUAUUAACAUAAUUAUUGAUAUAAUAUCAUUUUAUGUUUAUAUGCUAUAUACAGAAAUAAUUAUAUUUAUUCAAUAUAAAAAUUAAUUGAUGUAUUUAUUUCUUUAAACGUAUAUGAUUGAAUCAAAAUUAAAACAUCAUGUAUACAUUUGAACCAUAACUAAAAUUUUACAUAUAUAAUUAUACAAAAUUACAAUUCAUAUACGUAAUAAACUAAAAUUCAAUUUUUUUAUAAAAUUAACCUAAAAAAUUUAAUUAAUUACAUAAAUGACCCUUUUUUUUAUUAAACACGUAAAUGACCUAAAAUCUACCGUGAAAAUUGGUGGAAGCAAAGAGUUUGGCACCACCAACAUGCCACGUCAGCAACCAAGAUAAAAAAAAUCAACUUUUUGGUAGAGCCAUGCAUAAUAGUGCUACUUGUAUAAAUAUCAGGAAAAUACUAUAAUUUCUAAAAAAUAAGGGACUUUAAUAAAAAAAAAUUCUAUUUUCUGGUGGAGCCAAAUAAAUUGGCGCCACCAGUUUCCAAUGUGAUUUUUUUUAAAGUUUUCUAAAAUUUUAAAUAUAUUAAAAAAUGUUAAGUAUAAUUAAUUUUAAAAGUUUAAUAUAUUUAAAAAUUUAAUAUACUUAAUAUAUAUUUUUAAUAGGUAAAGAAAAAAAUGAUUUUUUAAUAUAUUUAAAAUUUUAAAAAACUUAAAAAAUUUAAAUACUUUAAAAAAUAUUAAGUAUAACUAAUUUUAAAAUUUUAAUAUAUUUAAUAUAUUUUUAAAAUAUUUUUAAAAUUUUUAAUAUAUUUAAAUUUUUUAAAGUUUUUUAAAAUUUUAAAUAUAUUAAAAAAAAUUUCCUCAUUACCUAUUAAAAAUAUAUUAAAUAUAUUAAAAUUUUAACAUAUAUUUUUAAAAUAUAUAUUAAAUAUAUUAAAAUUUUAAAAUUAGUUAUACUUAACAUUUUUUUAAUAUAUUUAAUUUUUUACUAUUUUUUAAAAAUUUUAAAUAUAUUAAGAAAAUAUUUUUUAUAUUUACCUAUUAAAAAUAUAUUUUAAGUAUAUUAAAUUUUUAAAUAUAUUAAACUUUUAAAAAUAAUUAUACUUAACAUUUUUUAAUAUAUUUAAAAUUUUAGAAAACUUUAAAAAAAAUUACAUUUGAAACUGAUUGGCUCCACCAGAAAAUAGAAAAUUUUUAUUAAAGUCCCCCCAUUUUUUAGAAAUUAUAAUAUUUUUUUGAUAUUUAUACAAGUGGCGCCAUUCUACAUGGCUCUAUCAAAAAGUUGAUUUUUUUUAUCCUGGUUGCUGACGUGGCAUAUUGGUGGAGCUAAACUCUUUACCUCCACCAAUUUUCACAGAAAAUUUUAAGUUAUUUAUGUGUUUAAUCAAAAAAAUAGAUCAUUUAUAUAAUUAAUUAAAUUUUUUAAAUUAAUUUUAUAAAAAAAACCCUAAAAUUCAUAUAUAUAACUGUAAGAUUUAUGUCCACAAUUAUCUAAAGCUAAUCGGUGAUAAUUACUAUGGAAAUUCAAUGUACUUAACUAAUUGAUUGAUAGGAACAAGCAUGAUGAAAUCCAUGAUUGGGAAGAGAGAGAAUUCAAAAACUGAACGCCCCAUUAAUCCAUGCGAAUAAACUUUUUCGGUAUACAUCAUAAUUCAUUUAAUUUUAUCAUUAUCUCUAUGCUAUAAUUAUGUUUAAACUAAAAUACUUGAGACAUUAAUAGUUUGUGUUAUAUAAAUUAUGAUAUCCAUAUAUCCAUAUUAUAUAUAUAUUUUUAUAUUAUGAAUGCAUUUAAAAAAAAAUUAUGAAAAAUGUAGAGUCCGCAAAUAAAAAAUGGCUUACAAAUUAACAGAAAACCAAUUUUAUUUCUUGUAAAUUGAUUUACCAUAUUAAAAAGUGUAAAUCUUUUUUUAAAUUUAUUUACGAGUAAUUUUAUUUUUAUAAAAAUUAAUUUUAGCCAAGCCUAAUAUUAUUUUAUUAAUAAUAUUAUUUUUAUUUUUAUUUUUAAACAAUUUAAAAUUAUUAAUAUCAAAUAUUAUAAUGUUGAAUCCUAGUAACAUACAUAUUAAAUUAUUUAUAUUAUGUUAUAUUACAAUUUUAUUUUAAUAAUAAAUUUUAACAACAAUAAUUUUAAAUUUUAAAUCGUAUUUUUAAUAUAUUAUUGAAAAAUAUUUAUAUUAAUAUUUUAAUAAUAAAUAUAUAUUAAAAUUUAUAAAUAUUUAAUAAUAAAUUUUUUAUAGUAUAAAAUAUGAAUAUUUUAAUUAUAUAGAUAUGAGUAUUUGUUUAAAUCAUGCUUAAGUUCAUUUAUCUCCCAACUCUAAUGUGUCAUUAUACACUGUCAUAUAUAUAAUAUAUGUAAUUUAAGCAUUAUUUAUUAUUAAAUUUAUAUAUGAUAUUAAUUAUAAUAAAAUAUUAUCUUAUUAUAAAAGAAAUUCCAAUUGUCAAAAAGAAAUGUUACUCUAAUAUUUUGUAAUAAGUAUAUUUAUAUUGUAUUUGUUUCACUAAUAACAAAUUUAAAAUGAUUUUAGAAAAAAAUAUCAAAAAAUAAAAAAUAUUUUAAUCAAAAUAAUUCAAAUAAAAAAAACUAAACUUUUCCAUGAAAUCAAUCCAAUUUUAAGAAAACAUUAAAAUUGUUUUAGGUGAAACAAAAGGAACCUAUAUUUUAUAUAGUAUUUGAAAAGUUGUUGUAUCUAGAAUUAUUAUCUUUAAUUUUUUUUAGGUCUAUUUCUAAUUUUCAAAAAUUGAGAAGUUAAUUUCUCUAUUUUACUUUAUCAGUCCGUGCUUAUUUUUUAUUAAUUUGUUGUGUAUAAAUGGUUAAACUAUUGAUUUUUGUUAAUUACUAGCAUGUAAAUUGUUAAACUACUUGUUCCCAAGUCAACAGUAAAGCUUAAUAGUAUUAUCAAUUUGGAAUAAUUUCUGAGAUUUUUCUUUUAUUUUGCGUGAUUAAGAUAUUUUUCAUGUACGGUUUAAGGUUUAUGAAGACUAAUCCUUUCGAGUUUAUAACUACCCUUUUUAAUAAUGUCGUCUUUAAAAUUCGAGUUCUCUUUCUUGUAAGUACAAUAUGCCUUACAUUUAUAACUAAUACUUCUUAUUUUUGUAAAAUAUAAGAAUCAAAUUAUGUAGUAAGAUUAAUUUCUAGAUUUUUUAAAUUUAAAAUUUAACAUUUAAAAUAUUAUCAAUCACAUCACACACAAAACCAAAGAGCAAGAGAAUCUAAAAAACACGUGGACCAUUAAUUUAGGAAUGGACAGAAACUCAUGCAAAAUGGUUGGAAAACACGUACAGGAUUAUAUAUACUAAUCAUUUUUAUUAUUAAGCAGAAUUGGAAAUAAAUAAAUACGGGCGAAACCACUGAAUAAUACAGCAUUGAAAUGCAAUUUGUCUACAUCAUUAUUGUUCUUCACUUCAAACGCGGAGACUAGUCUAGGGUCCCAAUCUUUUGCUUUAUCUCUCUAGAUAUAUCCUUUUCAAACUAUCUUUUUGUAGCUUUAUUUGCAUCACAGCAUUAUCUUUUCCUGCAAACAACUGUUUAAAGAUUAAAACAUGCAAAACAUUCUGAAAUAAUGCACCCUGACCAGAUGACAAAAAAAAAAGAGGAUUCUAAUGUAUCUUACCUUGGAUUGGAGCACGGUCAAAGCCGUGGCUUAGUAGUGGUGAGGAGGAGGGGGUGAAGCGUAGACAUAAUGGGGUGGGGGUGGAGGAGGAGACUUGUAUUUGUAAACUGGAGGAGGAGGUGGUGGAGACUUGUACUUGUAAGGGUGCUUGGGGGGUGAUGGUGGGGGUGGUGGGGGUGACUUGUACUUGUAGGGGUGCUUGGGUGGUGACGGUGGGGGUGGGGACUUGUACUUGUAAGGGUGCUUGGGGGGUGAUGGUGGUGGUGGUGGAGGUGACUUGUACUUGUAGGGGUGCUUGGGUGGUGACGGUGGUGGUGGUGGGGGGGACUUGUACUUGUAGGGAUGCUUUGGUGGGGAUGGUGGUGGUGGUGGUGGGGACUUGUACUUGUAGGGAUGCUUAGGUGGGGAUGGUGGUGGUGGUGGAGACUUGUAUUUGUAAGGAUGCUUUGGUGGUGAUGUUGGUGGAGGUGGUGGGGACUUGUACUUGUAAGGGUGCUUGGGUGGUGAUGGAGGUGGAGGUGGUGGAGACUUAUACUUGUAAACUGGAGGUGGUGGGGGUGGAGACUUGUACUUGUAGGGGUGCUUGGGUGAUGAUGGAGGUGGAGGUGGUGGAGACUUAUACUUGUAAACUGGAGGUGGUGGGGGUGGAGACUUGUACUUGUAAGGGUGCUUGGGUGGUGAUGGUGGGGGUGGGGACUUGUACUUGUAGGGGUGUUUAGGUGGUGAUGGUGGUGGUGGUGGUGGGGACUUGUACUUGUAAGGAUGCUUGGGUGGUGAUGGUGGUGGAGGUGGAGGAGACUUGUACUUGUAAGGAUGCUUGGGUGGUGAUGGUGGUGGAGGUGGUGGAGACUUAUACUUGUAAACAGGAGUUGGUGGGGGAGGAGAUUUGUACUUGUAAGGUUUCUUGUGUGGUGGUGGUGGAGGAGAGUAGACCGGAGGAGGCGGUGGGGGAGACUUGUAAUGGUAGGGUGGUGGUGGGUAUUUCUUAGGAG
rnacentral:lncRNA from 1 species